rnacentral:lncRNA from 1 species
UUUUUUCUUCUUUUUGUGUUAAAUUGAUAUCUUUUAAGAAAAUAUAUAGUAUUUUUAUCUGUAAAACGUUGAUUAUGGACUGAAUUCUUUUCGGUAUAUUUUUUUGAAAUAAUAACCUUUCACUACUCUAUUUUUUUUUCGUAAAAAUUCCAUUUUAGUUCAUAUUUUAUAGGAUGAUAAAAAAAUUAUGACCUCUUUCAAAAGACAACAACAUCAAGUAAUUAUUUUUAAGCUAAAUAAAAUUAUUAUGAACUAUAAAUUUUUCAAUGUUUAACUUAUUUGUAUAUUAUAUUCAAACUCGAGGUCAUGUAUUAAAUAUUCAUAUAUAAAUUGAUUCAAGUGUUUAGUAAUAAACUCUAUUUAUUCUUAUAGUAAUCCUAGUUGUAGACAAGUUGUUCUUGUGUGACAUGGAUAUAAAUAACCAUGUGGAACUUGUUUUCCCUGUUUUUUUUUUCUAAUAACAUGUGCCUAGUUCAAAUUUGUUGGCCCCUUUCUAAACAUUAUCUGGGCCCAAAUUGGAAAUGAAUAGUACUCCAGUCCUAUGUAAAAUGAUUGACUUCUGUUGACUAAUUUUUAUUUUUGUAUAUAAUAUUCUUCUUCUUUGAGAUUGAUCAGAAGCAUGCCUAAUUCCUAGUUACAAUUUUAAUAUGAUAAAAAAAGUGACUCAUUCUUUUUGCAUUAAAAUUAUAAAGAAGACUAAUUCCCUAUAUAACCCUAUAUGUUUUAGUUAGAUCUUUGCAUUAAUUAUGCACUUUAAGUUUCACUUUUCCAAUUCAUGGCUUGUGGUACUUCUAAGAAUGAUGAUACAAAUCAUGAAGCAGAAAAGAAAGAGAAUAUAAUCACAUUGAAAAGUUUGUCUGGUGGACUAUUGAUUUUUCUGUAACGUGUAAUAUUGUGUCAUGUACAAUGUUGACUAUAUAUGCAGAUUACGUGCUCAAAUUAUUACUUACAUGAAUUCAUAAACAGUAGCCAUGCGCAUAAUGUUUCAUUGCUUCGUCGCUUUAAAACAUGUAACAUGUAAUUAAAUUUAUUAAUUCCAAGCACUAGUCUGAAAAUCUAAAUUUUACGUUGUAAUUUAUUCUUAGCUUUAAUAACUUAAAGUUUGACAUCAAACUAUUCCUAUUGUUAACCUUUUAUUCUUUAUAUUUCUUCAAAUUUACUUUAAUUGUUCUAUCAGAUAUAUUCAUUGAUAAUUUAUUGUUGAUUUAAUUUACCCACAAAUAAAUUCGUCAGUAAUUUAUUUGAUGAAAUCAAAUUUAUAUUUGAGAUUUUCUUUUCCUAAUUUUAUUUUUUGCUUUUUUUAAAAAUAGUCUACUUUGUAACAUUAUUUCUUUGUAUCAUUAGUGUAGGGCGGAGGUGAGUGGAUUCAAGUUCUGAUCGGGUUGUAGUUCAAUGGGAAAUAACCUAUGUUAUAAUGUUUUGCAAUUUGGAGAAAGGAUACAAGGGACACCUUGAGUUUGUAUGUUCUCAUAAAAGAUAUAAUAUUAGAUUUUUUUUUUUCUUGUGGAUGGGUAUUGGUACGUGGACAUUGGGUAUGUACGGAUUAUGGUAUCAAAGUUUGUUGUUAUUGGUCGUGUGGUCUCUAAUUACUUUCUUACUUGGUAUGGUUGUUUCAGAGGUAGGGCAUUUACGUUAAAUGUUUUCCAUGGUGUUGGGUGGGGUUACCAUGGUUUUUGUCAUUGCUAUCACAAUAUCUCCUAUACCAUCUUCCUAUACUGUGAUGGUGUGCUCAAGAAAGUCUUGUUUUUGUAAGUAGGUCCUAUUUUAGUAAUUAGGAGAGUGUUGUAGGAUGAACAAGACAUGUUUUGAUAAACAAGAUCAUGGAAGUCUUGCUUUGGAAAGUGUGCCCUAUUUUAGUAAACAGAUCAAGUUGCUCGAGUAUGGAAGAGAACAUAGUAAAAGAUGGUGAUAACAUGGUUUGCUUGGAUUAAAGUUGGUUUGGCAUGGUUUUGUUGUGUGGUGAUUUAUUUGAAAUAAGGGCAUAAUGAGGUUAGAUAUCAAUUUUAAUUAUAUCAUUAUAUGUUGUUUUGAUGUUUAUUUUGUUAGUUCACCCUUACGUUUUGUGGUUGUGGUUUCCGCUUUGAUGACCAUAUUCAUACGAGAGCAGAUAAUAUUACAAAGGUUGAUGUUGAUGGUACUAAUGUGAUGUAGAAUGAGAGACGGUGGAGAAUGAUUCUCGAAGUUUCCAAAAAGUUAUUUCUCUUUUUAAUUAAUCAUAAGGAGUCUUGGUACAUUAAUUCCAGUUGUAAUUGGAUUAUUUAUUGUUAUAGCAUAAACUUUAUUAUUUUUAUGACAACAAAAUAAAUUUUUAAAUUUUCACUACAUUGAGGUGGUAUCAUAAUUUUAUUUAAUUGAUGUCUUUUGUGUUUGGUUGGGUUAGAUUUUAAUAGGGUUGUUUCCUUUUGUCAAAGGUUAUUGCGGUAGUAAUGUUUUAACUUAUAUGUUUGACUUGCAUUUUGGGCUUACAAUGUUGAUAUUAGUUGUCUUGCUUCUAAACUCCAUAUUGUAAUUUCUUACAAAACAAAAUCAUGAUCCCUACAAACUGCAUUGUUUAUGUUUUCUAAAACUUAUAUAAGAUAAAUUGUGAGUAUGGUGGACGAUUUAAAUGGGGAUUGUAUUUUGCAGAAAGAUGAAUAAAUAAGUCUUGAUCGUUUAAUUGCUUAUAAUUCAAGAUAUCUCUUUUAUAUCUUUUGUUUUGAUUUUUAGGCUAGUUAAAUAGCUACCUUUAAGAUGAUUUAUAAUUAAGAGAUGUUGGAAAAAGAAUGGAUUAGUUUUAACACCUAGAAGAUGAAUUGGUGAAAAUAAAAAAUCAGAAUCUUUUCAAAAUCUUUUUCACAAAGUGUAAACCUUUCAAAAGUUUCUUGAAUCUCGUAUGAAAAAGAUAAAUCAAUGCAGCAAAAAAUAGUUGACGAUACUGAAAAUAUAGUCGACUUUAAAAUAAAGAGAUCAAGGAUAGAGAAAUUCAAACAUAGUUUUUAUACUAGUUCGACCAAACUGCCUACAUCCAGUGUCCUUCCUCUAACCGAAAGCAAAUGCACUAUAAUGGUCAAGGUUUUUACAACAAGGUUUCUAUAGGGACCUUCAUGUCAAAAUAUAAAACACCUCUCUAACCCUCUAACCAAAUAUAGGCAUACAACACCUAAAAAACAACAAGAUAUCCCCUCUCCUACAGUCUUUGUCAACUUUGAACAAUCCUCAAAGUUUUCCUAGCUCUUCCUGUAAUCACAAUAGGGCAGCCACAAUCUUCACAAGAUUGAGAGAAGUAGAUGAUCACGUUUCCAGUACACCUCAAUGUGCAGUAUGAUCAAGCCUUUCUUUCAACACAACCUUGCUCGUUAAAUAACUAUCCAAGAGAGAUCUCCACGGUCUUCUUUAUAAGUUCUUAGAGCUUUUCACAAAGAUCAAAAUCUGAAACAAUAGAAUGAAAUUGCUAGAAUAACCAAAGUCCCUGUGUAAAACAGAAUCACGUCUAUUUAUAGUUUUCUGUAAAAAAGACGCUCUUGUAGUCGACUUCACUACUAAUCCAGUCGACUUCAGUCAAACAAUUAAAAUAGUUAAAACCAAUUAGUAGCAGUCAGACCAACCAAAUUGAUUGGGCAUUUAAUUCAGUUGACUUGCAAUUAAUGCUUUGUCAAAUAGACAAUAUAUAGCUGUUAUAGUUCACAAACAUUAACAGAAAUUCAAAACAUAACUAACUAAGUCGAGUUGCCUACGUAGACAGUCGACUAUGUCACUUCAAUGUAGUUUUGAAAAUCUUUCCUUUGCAAAAAUACUCACAACACUGUUUUUGAAAAUUUGUGCAAAGUCACGAGUUUUAAUCGACUUACUUCAUAAUGAAGUUGACUUAAAACUUGCAGUUUUGCCACACAAUAUAAGUUCAACCAAGUGCAUGUGGUUUUCUUUUCUAAACACAUAUGUAAUGAAAUCACAGAAGAUAUCUCAUGUAAAGAUCAGUGAAUAUGCACACAUAUACAAAAUUAACACAAACAUGUUCUUCAAGAAUUCAUACACAAUAAAGUUUUGAACAUGUAACACAUAUCAAUACAUGUGUUAUUAAUAAUGUGUUGUCAUCAUCAAAAACCAAAAAUACUGUGAGAUUAAGGUUUAGCUAAACCAGUACUUCCCUUAUCAACAAUCUCAACAAGAGAUGUGGGACCUAAACCCUGUUUAAACAUUACAUUUCAUAUUUAAGAUCUCUGAGUCCUAUAUCCCUUAGUUUACUCAACCUACUUCCUCUACUACACCUACAUAGGCAAACCUAAGGCUUCCUUUGUAUUUGCAUUAAAUUGCAUUUCUUCUUUAAGAUACAAUUUAUCUCUUAGUUUGAAUUUUGGGUCUUAUCUUGUAAAAAACAAGUGGCAAUCCUUCCUUAUUAUUCCAUAUCAUGUAAGAACUAAACAAAUAAGAACAAAAAUGAAAUUAAAAGGUAUAAAAUGAAAAGGAGAAAAGGAAAAGAAACUUAGGAAAUUGAAGCCACGCUGUUUGGAGGGAUCCAAUAUAAGUGCAAGGGAGGAUCAUAAUUUGUUCUUUAAAAGAUAAGUCUCAAAAUAAUUUAGACUAAAAGAUAUAUUAUCUUAAAGAAAAAAUGUAAUUUAAUGUAAAUCGCUUUAAUUUUCAUUUAGUGAAAGGUUUAUUACUACAAAUGAGGCCUUAGGUUGCUUAUAUAGGUGUAAGAGAGGAAGUAAAUUAAGUAAAUUAAGUAAAUUGAAAGAUGUGGAACUUGGAGAUCUUAAAUUUGAAAUGGAACGUUAUAAACAGGUUUUAGGUACCACAUUUCUUAAUUCUACAUUACCCUAAAGAUAUAUAAGCUACCCAACUAGUGUAAAAAUCAAAACUAAAGUUAUAUCAUAGAUAACUUGAAUUACAAGCAACUAAAAGAGGAAAACUUUUUUAUUAUUUUUUCUUUUUAGUCCAAACUAUUUGGAGUCGCAUAUUGAUUGCACUUUAAAGAAAAAAAGGAUCUAUAAGUAUCUCUACAACCAAACUAAGGAACUAGCAAGGCAAAAUACAAACCUAUGAAAAUCUAUGCUAAUAAAGGCCAAAAUACAUGUUAUAAAACCUAUUCUAUUCUUUUCAUUUCUUCAUGUUUUCCUUAUGUCUUGAGCCAUUUAUGAUCACAUCAGAUCAGCCCAAUGAAAAGGGGUGAACUCAAAAGCUAAUCUGAGGUUGUUCACAAAGGGUGAACUCAGAAUUAUAGGUAGGGGUCAAAGACCCUGUUAUUUUCUUCAUUCUGUCUUUCUUGUGGACAUCUUGGUGCCCUCGUAAUGUUGUGAGAUUGCAUUUUAGUGCAUUCUGUUUUCAAGUCAUAGCAUGCUUUGUAUUGAUUACAAAAUGUAGUUUUAAAGUACAUGGACAUAAGGGUCUAUAUAAGAAAAUCCAGAUUUAGAUAAAGCCGUGUCUCAUGGAAUGUUUGCAAAUAAAGAAACUGUUUUUGGCACUGUAGUAGAUGCACGUCAAACUUCUUAGUAAAAAAGGAUUCACUGUGAUUUAUUUAAGGUGAUAUCAUAUGUCUUGCUUCUAAAGUAUGCUUUAGUAAUUGUUUUUACGUUGCAUGUUGCUGUUGAACGUGGAGUAAAAUUUUGAGUAGUAGACAGAGAAGAAAAGUGGAUCCCCUAUCACUUUCUUAUGAUUCAAUAGUGGUUUUCAUACAAAUAGUAGCGAACACACUAUAAACUGAAGAACUUUGUAAUUAAAACAGCUUAAACUCAAACCAAAUCUACUCUAGGAAAGCAAUAAAAUCUACCAAACUAGCUUUGUAGUGAAGGCAGGUUCAUAACAUUAGAGAGAAGGAAAACUCAGAACUGUAAAAUCUGGAAAAGGUUUUCUUAUUAGUCACUAUGUGGUUUUCAUCCAUCUCUAAUUUUGAUAUUCGCAUUCCGGUUCUGCAACACCCCGGACUCAUCAUUUCUAAUAGCAUAUGGCAUAUUACUGCAAUAUCUUCGCACUGGUUUUUUAUUACAUUAGUCUACUACAUCAUUUAAAUUGAAGAACUUUAGUUCAAAGUCAAAAGGAAUAGAUAAUUUGGUAGAAAGAAAAAAUGAGGUAAAUUAGGAGUUAUGAUUGUAUUCUGUUGAACAGUACGUAGCAUCAACUUAUGGGCUUUGCAAGUUUAUUGGAAGACAGGAUAUGAAUGACAUAGCACGGGGGAAUCUAUUGAUUGAUUUUCUUCACUCUCGGUUCUUUGCUUAUUGGUAUAACAAUCAAAGAAUAUUACACCCCGAUUGUACUUUAGUUUAAGUCAUAGGGAAAAUUCUCAGCUAAACUUUAAUGGUUGCAGAAGAGUAAUAUAUAUAUAUAUAUAUAUAUAUAUAUAUAUAUAUAUAUAUAUAUAUAUAUAUAUAUAUAUAUAAAGACCAUAUCAAUUUGAAUUGUAAUGUGUAACAGCAAUAGGUGGUAUAAAGUGAAAAUAGAAACUUCCUCAUUUCUCUUUAUGCAAGUGAUAAAAUAAAUUGGAGAAAGAAUGAGUGUGUGAGAGAAAAAGAAUGGAGGAUUCAUGCAAGUUGUGGUAAGAUGCAUUGUUUCAUGUGUGGGGUCGGGAAUGAAUAGGACACUCCUUCACACUUUCUAUCGCGCUUGUUUGGAUAAUUUUGUUCGUCUUUUGUUAAAGUCCUUUCUGGUUAAUGUUCCAAACCGCUCGAGGAUACUUGUCAAAGGCAUUUCGAUGCUUAAGUCAUUAAUUAAUCCAGACGAUGGUUAGAGCAAAGUCAUAAAUUCACAAUAAAUAUGAUCACUUACUUUUUAUCUUUGACCUCUAUUUAUAGUUUUAGAGAUGGGCUUAAGAUUAGCAAAACCCUAAUCACGACCCCAAUCUCGGUCCAUUAUCUACUAAUUAACACUUACUCUUAACCUUGUCUAUUUGGUCUUUACCCACAUUCGGCCGAGCAAUCAUCGUCUUAUUUUGUUCAAUUUCAUGGGUUCAGACAUAUUCGAUCGGUCAUCCCUCAAUGGCUCUUUCUGCCCGGUCUUAGCUAUGUUGUCAUCUGGCCAUACAGUACAAAGGCCUCCCAAGCCCUAGCCAACCCUGGGUGGCGUUGGAUUUGAUACAUGGGUGGUGUGGAGUAGGUCUCGUGGCUAUGGUUGGAGCUUCCCCAUACGACGUGAUUUGAAUUUGUGGUAGUGGUGGGAAGACACUUGUCUUAUUAAUUAUGUGUUGUCAUCAUCAAAACCAGAAGAUCUCUGAGAUUGUAAGGUUUGGCUAAAUAAGUGUUCCCUCUAUCAAAAAUCCCAACAACCUUCAACAAAGAAAGGUCAAACCUUCAACACAAAAGAAAAAGGACACACCUUGAACUAAGAGUACAGAGAGAACAGAGGAUUGGAGAGAGAACGGAGAGUGGAGAAAGAACAACAAAGAAGUUGAAUUAUAGAGAGAGAAUGAACCCUCUUUUUCUGAAUGAAAAAAGCAAGGGUAUUUUGGAAUUCAUAAGUGUAAUAUGAUUACAUUUUCCCACGUUACCUUUUUCAAAUAAAAAAUUUAUUUUAACCUUCUCCAAUACUGUUUUUAGACAUGGCAAUUGUGAAAAAGUUAUAAAAAAAAGGUUUAAUGUCUCGAUAAGUCCUUAUUUUCGUCCUGAAUCUCAAUUAGGUCCCUUUUUUUUCGACUUCUCGAUUAGGUCCUUAUUUUUGUAAAAUUGAAUCAAUUGAGGGUCUACCGUCAAAUUAAACAAACUGUCGUUUAAAUUUACUGACGUGACAUUAAAAACGAAUUUUAUAUUAAAAAUUUGAAUUACACAAGUGUGAAUUCAAAUUUAAGAAAGGGCAAAGUAGGCAAAAUCUAAAAUUUAAGUGCAGCCCCUAACUUCAAUCUUCCAUGUUCAUUUCAUUCAACUCAAAAUUAUAUUCUGUUCAUCAGCAUCCUUCCCAAAUUCCAUCAACGUUUCCCUGUCCUUAUCAUACAGCGGGCACUCAUUCUCCAACUAACAAAGUUGGACUACCAACUUAUCAAACUCCAGUGCCAGUCUAUGAUUCUCCUCCACGAAUUUCUUCAAAACUUGCACUCGCUUCAAACUGCUCUAAAAUACCCAGAAUUCCCAUCAUCAAAUUUUCAAAAAAAAGAAAAUGAAAGAUAAAGAUUCAAAAGACCAAUCUUGCAUAAAACAAAAUCAAAUGCAACCAAAACAAAAAGUAAAAAGCCUUCCAAUUCCAACAUUAAUAAACAACCAGUACAUGAUUGGAUUAAUGUGAGUAUUUCAACAAUUUACUGAAGCUUCACAAUUGAGAUUUCCCAAAUGCAGAUUAAAAAAUGAUGAUAAAAGCAAACAAAGAGGAGCGGACCUCACCUCGUCCACAUUAAAAUCCCGAUCAAUUAACCGGUGUCCUGAGUUCUCCAAUUCAGAAACCCUAACGCUCCUUCGAGUUUCUUUCGACACUUUCGCGACGGCGGAGUCCAAAUCCUUGCGGAGGAGCGUCCCUCCCAUGAUGAAUCCCUCUUGUUCGAAGGCAAAGAGCGUCUUGGACUGCGACGGAGAAGAACAAAAUGGAAAGGUGAGACCUUGAAGGAAAUGUAAAUGUUAUUGAUGGUGGCCAAGUCGUUGAAGGAGAUGACGUUGAAUGGAGGAUGCAGAUGAUGUUGACUGGCUUCAUUACUGAGAAGGAGUUUUAGGGUUUUGAAAGAAAAGGGGUUAAUGGAAGAAGAAAAGAGGUUUGUCUUUUUUGCCCCUCUGAACAUAUUUGAUUUAACUUUGCUUAAUUAUUUUUUAAUAUAAAAAUUAAUUCAAAUUUAUUUUUAAUGCCACAUAAGAUAAAUUUAAACGGUCGUUUGUUUAAUUUAACGGCAAGUCUCUAAUUCUUCAAUUUUACAAAAAUAAGGACCGAAUUGAGAAGUUGAAAAAGAAAUGGACCUAAUUAAGAUUCAGGGCAAAAAUAAGGACUUACGGAACUAUUAAACCUAAAAAAAAAAGUUGUUAACUUAUCGCGAUCCACAAUCAAUAAAUCUCCUUUAACACGAAAACUACCUAAAAGCAAUAUCUAUAACUUAAUGUAGUAAGGAAUUUUGACCAAUAAUUUUUUAGACACAAAGUAAUAUGCUUAAACUAAGUAUAAUUUCAAUGUCUAAUCUCUAUGCAAACUAGUAGAGUCCAUUCUCUACCUAUUGUAAGGUAGUGUGGUGUUUUUAUUACACCACUUUUACUUUGCACGUGGGUAAAUGAUAUAGAACAAUUAUAUUUUUUGUAAUCACCAACAAGACCAACCCCUAACUCUGCUAUCAAAUAAAAAAGGACGGAUCUAACAAUGUGAUUAAAGGAAUUUGAGUAACCUCCACCGCUAACUCAACAUGCAAGAGUUCAUUUUCAAAUGUAUUUAGAAGUCUAUAUCACAUAUAUUCAACUAUAACUUCAAUUACUCAAAAAGCAACUUGAGCUGUAAGGAGUGCAAUGGGAAAACUCCAACCUAGAAAUCAAAACAAUAGAAACAAAAAUACAACCAAACUUAGGCAAAGACUAAAUUAGUUGAGAAAGUUAUUUUUCUCAAUUUAUAAAGUAUAAAAGAAAAAUUAAAUGGAUUUUUGAUGCAAAAAAGAAAUUUUAAUUUGAAAAGAAAAUUCAUAGGAUAGAAAUGGUAUUUUAUCAUGCUAGUAUAAGGUAGGAUAUGAUUAUGAAAAUGGAGCAUUGGAGUGAGACACUAAAAGAAAUAUUAGAGAAAAACAAACGUUUUUGCAUGCAUGAGAAAGAGAGAAUGAGGGGGAAGUUUUACAAUUUUUUAACUCAAAAAUUUGGGUUCCAUCUUUAAUUUUGUUUAUAUUUUUUUACAUUUACCAAACUAAAUUAUAUAUGUAUGGUCACAAAUGAAAUUAGUAAAUUUAGGAAUAAAUAUAAAAAUCACAUACUUUCAAAAAUAGAGAAACCAAAUGUCUCACCCGGUUUAUUCAAUCAUAAAUUGUAAUAGUUGGUACCUAAUGUUUUAACUAUAAUGUUUUAAUUAAUUAAAAAUAUAAAAAUAUUUAAUAACUUUAACUUUUAUAUUGAAUACUUCUUCGUUUAAAAAUAUGAUUUCAAAAUAGUAAUGUUUUCCCUUCCGAACAUAAAAUUCACUUCAAUAGUUUUCUAAAAUAAUACAGAAUUAUUCACUGUUUUUAUAAUCAUAUUAAAGAUUCGUGUAUUAUUUUAUCUUAAGUCCGUAAAAUAUCAUAUCGGUCGUUUAUCGACGAAAUAGGCGAAAACUGGAAAGCAAAGACUGAAGGGAUAUGUUUUGCUUAGCGAUGAAGGAAAUCUAUAUUACAAAUAAAUUAAAAAAACAAUGUCAUAAUCAAUUAAAUAUAAGAAAAAAAUAGUAAGAACCUGAUUCUAUUUUAUUUUCAUUGAAUUAACAUACCUAUAUAUUUUUGUCUGUGUCUGAAGUAGAUUCUAUUUAUACAUUCUACGAAUCUAAUACUGAUUCUGUGUUAACAUCAUACUUCAUUUUUGUCUGCCAUAAGCAGAUUCUGAUUAUAGCUGCAAUUGCAAAUAUAACAUGAUUGAGGUUAUACUUGCAACAUAACGAAAUACUUUCCCAAAAGGGCUCUUAUUUUCGUAUUGGCCCCAAAGGUUUUGGAAUAACAGCCCAUUACAAAAGAUACUUUAUUCUUUCUUUCUUCAAUCACUUUUAUUGCAGGAGGGCAGUUUGAGAUCUAUUUAGGUUAAACUCAUUCGGAGGUAUCUAUUUUUGUGUUUUUGUUUCACUUACAUUUCUGUCUUUUAUUCUUUCACCAAUUAGAUUCUUAAGAUUGAAAAAUUGAAAGAAUUUGACCUUUGCCGUUAAAUCAAGCUAACAGGAUUAACUUUCAGCUUACAUGUAAGGGUGAGGUGGAUAAAUAUGAUCACGUGGCGUGCACAGAAGGGUUUGUUUAUGUACGUGGCAUUAAAUUUAAAAAGUAGGGGUUUUGUUAAACAUUUUAAAAUUAGGGUUAUUUUAAAAUACAAUUAGGAUUAAAUCUCUUUCAGUAGUGGAGUGGUGGUUCCAACAGCACCGACUCGUCAUCACUGGCGAUGUCUACGGCUCAUCCUCAGUUGCGCCUCGGUGCUACUUCUACCGGUCUCUCCACCGUCAAGUGCAUGCAAAACGUGGCCGCCAAAGCCGUCGCGCAACGCCUCACUCGUGUCAUGGCAUCUCAGAACGCCAUCAUCGACGAAGGUGAAGAUGACGAUGAUCUCGAUUUCCGGUUCAGCGCUCCGCCUCCUACAUCUAUUUCUUCUUUCUCCAUCAACGCCAUCAGUAACAGGAGCACCAACACAAAUGCCUCCACUAUUCCUCCGAUUUUGGUUGCCAAGCCUAACAGAUCUACUUCUCCUACGAUAACUCUCUCUGCAAUUCGACACUGUUGGGUAUGUCACUGUUUGUCCAGAAUUUCAGGAAGAAAAUAGAAGAUAAACGUCACGCUAGAGAGAAAAAAUCACCAUGGUCGCGAACCGAACAGUGAGAAGGAAUUCAAAGUGAGCGCGUUGAAUGAAGAGAAAAAAAAAUAAAGUGAAUAAGAUUAACUGAAUAAGGAAUCCACCUUGUGGUCGCGACUACGGUAUUUGAACUGGCGAGGGAAAUAACGAAGGACGUAACUAAGGCCGUCAUCGGAGAGAAACAUCUCUGGUGUUAGUUUGGGCCUUGUUCGAGGAAGUUUCUUGGGCUUUUCGGUUGUGAAUCUGGGCUUGAAAGAAAAGGAAGAAGGAUUGGGAGUGGGAUUGGUGGAGGCGUUAGGGUUUGGAUUGGAAUUGGGAGCAGAGAAAGGACAGUCUCGUGACCAAUGACCUGGUCUGCCACACUUGUAACAGCCUGUGGCGGUUGCUGUUCCUUUUCCUCCAUUUUUUCACUUCUCACUGAUCACUCUCCUUUCCCAACACACCAUCUAUCUGUGGUGCGAUGGUGCUCCACCUGGACAGGAUAGAAUGCGGUGAUAGAGCUACGUGGUACAAGCAACUGUUAUCGGCAAUACUGCAGCAAUGAUUUUGAUGAUUGAGUGUCUGGUGCAGGAGGUGGUCGUCGGCGACGGUGUGGUAGCGAUCUAGGUGGCGCGGCGCAAAUAGUGAAGUAAGGAAGUUUUAGGGUUUAUGGAAGGAAGAAGGAAGAAUUUUCAGUUAUUUUAAAAAAUUUAUUCAGAAUAAAAAUUAAAUAAUACAAAUAAUUAAUAAUAAUAAUAAUAAUAAUAAGGUUAAGAAACACUAAUUUUUUAAUUCUUUGUUUAAGAUACUGACACGUGUAUAAUAAAACCAACGUAACAGGUUCUGUGCACACCACGUCACCAUAUUUGUCCACCUUACCCUCACAGGUAAGAAAAAAGUUAACCCCGUUAACUUGAUUUAACGUCAGGGGUCAAAUUCAUUCAAUUUUCCAAUCUUAAGGACCUAAUUGGCAAAAAAAAAAAGAUGAGGAUGCAAGUGGGACAAAAACACGAAAAUAGGGACCUCUGAAUGUGUUUAACCAUCUAUUUACCUGUAUUGAUGUUAAUUGAAGAGAAGGUGCUUAUUAAAUAAGUCUACUAAGUUCAUGGGGUACCAUAAUUGAGAUCUGGGACACUAGAUUGGUCGAAGAACCUUUAAUGAUUGGAUUGUGAAUAGGUGUAUGGUAAGUAAAAGUCUAUAUAAAUAUUAUAAAUAAAAAGUUUAAGGUAAUUGUUCACUUUUACUGCAACAUUUAGUAUAGCCUUUGGAUCAAUACUAAUUUAAGCAUCAGAGUGUAAUCUAUAAGUACACUUCGAACGAUUUGGACAACUUGAGACCUUAAGUAUUGAAAGGAGCUGAAAAUUGAAGUUAACCUAAGACCGAGACAUAUAGGAAAUGGAAAUGCUUGACCAAUCUAACAGAAACAUUUUUGUACCCACCGUGGGACCGAACGAGCACUUUUUUGCUGCUAUGGUAAUCACAAAGAACAUGACAAACAAUGAAGUACUAGAGGAGCAGCAUGUGGAUCCUAUGGCUAUGAUGCACGACAUGAGAAGGGAGAUGGAGACUAUGAGAAGGAAGCAUGAAGGAGAGAUGACAAUUUUGCACACAGAAAACACACUUAUGAAACAAAAACGGAAACUAAGGGACAUGUACAAUCCACCCCAACUCAACUUGGACCAACCAAACAACCAAGAAUCGAGCAUGAUCGAACAGUUCAGAAGAAAAAUUAUGGAGCUAGUAGAGAUCACAACCCAUCUGUCACUGUCACGGUAGACAUGUCUGGGUGCACCCGUUUACUAGUGGAAUCAUUAAGACCCCUUUACUAGACAAUUGGAAGAUGUCAACGUUUGACAAGUAUGAUGGAUCCACGAAUGUUAACGAGCACAUCAACAUUUGUCUAACGCAGUUGGUGUUAUUCACGUCAGAUGAUAUCAUUUAGUGCAAGGUAUUCCCAACAUCACUAAAAUGAGCCAUCCUCGAGUGGUUCAAGCUUCUAUCUGUCAACUCCAUCGGCUGCUUCGCCACAAUUAGAACGAAAUUUAGAACAUAAUUCACCACUAGCCAACAACAUCAUCUAACGUACAUAGCGCUUGUCAACAUUCGACAAUACAAAGAUGAAAUCCUCUGAACAUUCAUAGAUCAAUUUGGAAAGAUAUCUUCACAAAUAAAGGACCUAAGUCAUAAAGUGCCUAUGCAUCAGAUAAUUCACCAAAAAAACUUGUGGGAUCGUUCCCCAAUAGCCUGUUAUGCAGUCUACCACAAAUUUAGACGAUUUGAUAUAGAGAGUAGCAAAGUACAUGCAGCGAAAGGGCUUGAAAGGCUUUCGAAAGCAAAUGCGACUAUAAAGAGCAAAUGUAAAUAAGGGUACAAAUAAAAAAUCAUUCACCAAGAAUCAAGACUCAAAGUUACGGAGUCAAUCAGAGGUCCCCACUUCCAUAACCACACACCAUCGAACAAUGGUUGUUCGAAAAUCCUUUGGGAAGCUCUAAACACAUACUUGUUACCAUCACCUAGAAGAAAGGCAACCCUGUUGAACCUUGAUAGUAAUAAACAUUGUUAAUAUCAUCAUCACUUAGGCCAAAACAACGAUGAGUGUCUACCGCUAAAAUAUAAAAUAGAAGAGUUCAUCCAACUUUGACAGUUAAAGAAGUUUGUCAAAAUUGAUUAAACCCCUACCAUAGAGAAGAACCCCUAAAUGAGCAGUAUCAAUGUACAAAUAGUAUAAGGAGCAGCCUAGGUGAAGAAGCCGAAGUAAGAACAAGAGUCGGGAUGGUCCAUCGAGGGAAACAAUCAACACAACCUAAGGAGGUUUCGCUUGAGGAGGGCACACAAUAUUUUCCUAAAAGAAUCACAUUUGAGCAAUUAAAAUGAUGAAUCUCGUAGAGAAGAGAGUUAGAAGCACGCCCUUCAUCACAUUUUCUAACGAUGAUUAUAAAGCGCCUGACCCUGACCAAGACGACUUGAUGGUCAUCUCAAUCCAGCUAGCCGACUAUGCUAUAAGCAAGAUUUUGGUCAACCAAGGCAGACAAGAAGAAGAAGGAGUUGUGCUUACAACCUUCACGGCUUCCCCCGACCGAUUAGCAGAUUCCUCUUGCUCAACAAGUUCAACAGCAGCUUUGAAGAAAUUCUUCUUUAGAUUGUGGGAUGCCAUAAUCUCUGAAAGACAACAAAAAAUUUAGCUAGGUUAAAAUCAAGUCAAAAACAAACGACAAAAGGAAUGCCAUAUCGAACACCUCAGUACUGAGGUCCUCCCCACCAAGGCAAUUGAUUAUCUUUGAGGAAGGGAGCUGGCGAGGCAAGUCAUCAAGAACAUUGAGUGCCUCCUGCUCGGCCGGAGUCAUAUCUGACUGUAACCAGGAAGUCACCCAAGUAGGGUCUUCGGUCUAGUACAAAGAAAAUUUUGGUCACUCGUCUUCCCCAAAGAAUAGUAGAUGGCCAAACUCGGUUAAUUCUACCUUAAAAAAUUUAUCAUUGAAGCCCUUGAAUGAAAGAGAAUAAAGCUCAAAUAAGGCUUUCCCUUGCUCGAAGAUCGGGGCGACCCAACCGCGUUUCGGAAUAUGUCAGGUCCAAAAGUAGUGAAGAAAAAGAGCGCGGGUGUAGGUGUGAGGUCCAACACUUAGCAAACGAUGGCGAAGGCCUGAAUAUACCCCUAGUUAUUUGGAUGCAGUUGGAAUGGGGCAAUAUUUAGAGUACGGAGGACGUCCAUUUGAAAAGAGCUAAACGACAGAUACACAAACAUCUCAUGGAACAUAUAAGCGUAAGCGAAGAAGAAGUCACUCUUACUCCCUCCUUUUCCAUGAAACACACGGUCAUUCUCCUCACGGGCCAUUAACCUAAAUAGAGGACCAAAAUCCAUUGACCGCAACACAUAGUUACAAUCAGUCCAGUCCGCCAACUGACUCAUGUCAUGAGACGCUUCAAAAGUAGGUGGAGAACUCACUCACAUCAUGAGACGCUCAGUCGUAGCCCGCGACAAUGGGCAAAGCUCCCACCUGCUUGUUCUCCUCCUUAGCACCCUCCAUAAUCACCCCUCCAUAGACAAAGGUCCACUGACCGUUGAACAUAACCUCUUUAUUUUCUUCUACAAUGGAUUCAUUACCAUCACAACCACCAUCCCGCUCGGUUGACUCCAUGAAGGAGGAAGAAGACUCCGAGCCCACCGAGAAUGAGACCCCAUCAUUGCCCCACCCGCCCCUUCCCGAAGACUCCUCAGACGAAGAGAGGUUCAUGGUAGCCAUUUAUUACAUGAAUUAAAAAAAAGACAAAUAACACUUUCAAACGUUGGAUGAAAAUACGUGAAAAUUAUACAAUGGGUCUUUCCUAUUUAUAGGCAGCAAAUGGAGGACCCAAAGAUCGUCCUAACUGUUGGAUGUAAAGAAAUCCAACGGUCUGAUUCAAAGACUCCAUAACUUCCAUCCAGCAUGAGAAACGAAAAAUCACAUCCAACGGUUAAGAACAGCUGACCUUGCACAUUCCUAUCAACGCAUGAAAUAGAACCAAACGCCAAUGGUAACAAUUUCAAAAUCAAGGCAACACCCCACCCAAACCAUGCACGCUCACCAAACAGUUAGUAAAGUCCCUUGCACAUUCCUAUCAACGCAUGAAAUAGAACCAAACGCCAAUGGUAACAAUUUCAAAAUCAAGGCAACACCCCACCCAAACCAUGCACGCUCACCAAACAGUUAGUAAAGUCCCUUGCCAAACAUGUUCGUCUCGAACUUGGGAGUCUGUGUACUGUAUGAACCGACCGAUAUACGUAUACCGGUAGACCACACGAUUAAUCACCUUUAGAAACGCAUUACAACCAAAUUAAACGAACGGUCACUUACAACACUCAUCGUCGUUAGGUAUAAAGACUUUAGAUUAACAAAGUAAAAACAUACUUAAACAAUGUUAGGCUUACACUUAUCCAAAGAUAAAGACAUAGGUGAUUACAUUUGGCAUUUGAGACUUAAUUAUAACCAUUCGAUAAGACUAACUUGAAUAUCAAGAGUACAUUUCUCCUCAGAAUUUUGAGGAGAAUAACAACAUAUUAUAAGAAAGUUAAAGAGUUAAUUGAAGGCAACAAACUAGAUUAGUAUAUAUGGAAACACAUUAUUUAAAUUGUCACUCAAAACAUAUCUUAAUUACGUUUCCUCACUUCCGCAUCAAUUUAGUUUUUUUAUCAAUUUUUGUUUAAAUAUUUAGUCGAAACAUAUUCAAAAGUUACACAUUCAAGAUGAAAAGGAAAUAAUUUAAAAAAUAACCAAGAUAGUAAAAUAAAAUUUAUUGUGGAUAUGGAAUUGCUUGAUUUGAUUUUAACCCACAAAUAACACCAAUUCAAUCAAAUCCAAGUUAGUGUAAUGAGUGGAUUUGAUGAAACCUCAAUCACAACAUUGUCCAUAAUAAGAACACGAGAAAGAAACUAAAAUUUAAAAAGCACAGCAAAACUUCUUGCCGGGGAGGAAGAAAUGACAAACUUUGGUAUUUUCUCAUUGAAAUGGUAGACAAUAAUACAACAACGGUGUAACAUUGGUACAAUAAAGAUAUGUCUGUCACUAUUUGCUGCACGAGGACCUUCAAACUACUUAAUUCAUACAGAAUAUCUUUCCAUUAUGCCCCAAGAGAAAAGAAGAAACAUAUGUACAAGGGUUGAGCUUUUAUGGAACCCCUCCAGAGGGUCUCACUGUUUUGUGAAAGGCCGUGUAUAACAUUUGUGAAGGGAUAAAUCCUGAACUAUUGAGCAUAUAUGUAAUAGGCCAAGUCAAAUAAAAGCCGCAUCUUUCUGUUGUUAGUUUUCAAAUUUGUAUCAAUUGUGGGAUAAGCUUCAAAAGGAAAGAUAAAUCCUGCUGUGAAAAUUGUGGAUUUGAGUUCCCCUGCACCGUCACACUCCCCUCCGUAAAACCCUCCCCAUCACCACCCUUUUUUGGCUUUAUCAUAUCUGCAACUGCUUCGGUUAUUUCUUUAACCAGAUCCACAAUUACUCCAUCAAUUCCCAUUAGAUGUUGCAUGUAAACUGCCUCAGGAACAUUGCUGCAAUGUCAAAUAUAAUCAUGAGCCAAAAUGUUACACCAAACACAUUCUUUUCUCAAGCAAUUAACAAAGGAAAGAGAGUACUAAAAACAAGCAUACUUUAAUUUGCCGUAAGAAAGGAGGCAGAGCUUGGACUCCUUUAUCUUGGUUACUGUAGAAGGAUCUCUAAAAAUCCCUUUAAUUUCUGAGACAAUUCCUUCCAAUCCAUUCUCAACAGAGAGCUUCAUGGCCUCCUCCAGUGAGUUUCUUCUCACAUCUUCAUAGAUUUCACAUCCUCCAUUUGUCAAGAAAAAGACCUGGUUGUUCCCAACAAAUUAACCACAACAUCAGAUCCAGUUAAAGAAAUAAAAUAAUUUCUCAGAACUAAAAAGGCUUAAAGAACUAACAGGGUAGUUGCUUUGCAAUUUCCGGAUGAGCAAGGCUGCAUCUGGCUGGAAUGUUGAGAAGAUAAUAGGUCUAUCCUUGGCGUAUUCAAACACAACCUGCACCCCACAAAUACCAAAGACAAUGAGAGAUCCAAGUCACCACUUUUGAAAUGUAAAACUAAAACAAAACACUCAGUGUCCCCCAUAAACACAUUUUAGGCUUAAAAUAGACUCUCUUAGCGUACCUUUAAGAUGGUUUGAAGGACAUGGACGAGAUAAUCUUGCUCAUAGACAAUGUGAUCAUCGAACUUCAACUCAAUAUUAAAACCAAUAGCGGGUUCCACCUUCACAAAAGCCUCUUGGAGAGUGCAAAGUGAGUCAUCUUGUUCAACAUCCCAUGGCAUUAUCUUCCCAUCUUUUUUCCUUAGCAAAACCUUUCCCUCAUUGCCAUGCUCUCUCUGAGGCCCAUAAGAAAGAAACUCUGAGAGACUCAGCUCUGUGAUCCUCCUUCCAGUUACAGCACCCUGCAAAACACAUUAAUUUCAACGUAACAAACCCAAAAAACUCGACCCAUUGAAAAGAAAAAGAAAGAAAUCAUCAAAGCUAAGCAAAAACAAAAAAACUCACAUUCUCCUCCGAGAAGAUGAAAUCGUCGUGGAAAAUGACGGGGCAAUCAUCUCUCGUCACCUACAAAAAACGUGCAUUUUUUAAUUCGUUUUCUUUUUUUUUUCUAUAAAAAAUGCAACGCGUCAAACAAAAACAAACAAGCAGCCAAUCAGUACCGAACAGACGGUCAAAAAAGGGCCGAGAAAGGCAAAUUAUUUACAGAAAAGCCAUCGGGGUAAAAUAGGAAAAGAAGAAAAGUAGUUGUUGCGAAACACAAGAAGCGAAAACGGUGCGCGCGGUGGAACAUUAAAUUAUUGCAUUGAGUGCAAAAGCAGAAAGAGGAAAAUAAAAGAAAAGGUCACCUGAACGUCAAAUUCUAUGAAAUCGAGAGGAAAAGUAGAGGCGGCGUUGAAGGACAUAAUGGUAUUUUCCUUUAUGGCUCUCAUUCUUCGAUCCGAAGAUUGCAGAACGUUCAUGCCGUUACCCCUGUGGCCGAUGACGACGAACUUGGGCAUCUUGAAGCCACUCCGAGCAAUCUCGACCCCUGCAUUAACGAUUAAAAGAAUGUUAGGAAGAAAAGAUGGGAAGAGGAAGAAGAGAAGGAAAGAGAUGGAAAGAACCGUUGGGGAAGCGGGAGGAGCAGAGGGCGAGAGAGGCAUUCUCGGGGACGUGGUCAAGGGAAGGGACGUCGGUGACAUGGACGGCCUUGAGAGCCAUUUGGGUGGAAGGAAAGAGAGAAAGGAGGAAGGGGAAAGGGAGGUGGUGAUGAGGAGGGCACCGGAUGGUUUGUGGGUGAUGGUGGUGGUGGUGAAGAACAAGGCAUGGUUUGGUCCGCUAUUUAUUGCUUCCACCUACGCCAAAUUCACCCUCCAACGGAUCUCCCCACGAAUAUUCCCCUCCCAUCUAUAUGCUUGGGAUAUUCCCUUGUCAUUUUCCACCCUUUCAAUUUCAACCUACACUUUUUCUUUUUCUAUAUCUAUAUCUUCAACAAAAUAUGUCAUUAUAGAUUUUUUACUAAUUUAUUGGACUAGAUUUUCGUCUAAUAUAUUAAUAAUAAUACCAUAUUUAAAUAAAAUAUUUAUAUAUAUCAUCCAAAUAAGUUCAAAAUAAUAACUGAAAAUUUUGAAACCGAACAAUUUUUUUUUAUACAAAAUUUAAAAACAAACACCUUUUCAACCAUUUAAACCACUAAAACAACCAACAAUUGUUUUAUCUCUUACUACAACUUCCAAAAAUAAAGCAAUUGACCAUGAAUACCUUUCAAUUCCAACAGACUUUGAAGCUAGCAUAAAAAAAUCUUGAAACAAUAUCGGAUAACUAGGAAUUGGUUCGAUCAAUUUCCAGCACAAACUGUUCUAGACACCAAAAAUGGAAGCCCUAUGACCAUUUUAAGAGGAAAAGCUAUACAUCUUUUAAUUGGAUGAUUUUAUUUAUUUUUUAAAUAAAAAAAGUAAUUCUUUAUUUAUGUAAUAAAAUAAAUUAUUAAAUAUUGUUUGUUUAAAAAAAAUAAAUUUCUAAAAUAACACUUGCGUAAAAUUAUAUAUAUUUUGUAGUGAUUGGAAACAAUGCUGUGGUGGUGGCGGGUGAGAAGUGGCUGGGUGACAGCUGGGGUAUUAUGUUAUAGUCGUUGACCUGUGACAAGGCAAACUACAAGGUUUUUGAAGAAAAUCUGUGGUGGGAUCGUCCGAACAUUGCGGACUACGGUAUUUUAUAAGAUAGAGGAUGAAUGAAGAAACAUAAUUGAUCGGGUAUGACGUGGUGACACAACAGCAUGUAGAUAGAUAGAGAAAGGUGGGUGGUUAUAAUUGGAUAAGACUACAAAAAGGAUUUAGGAAUGACUCAUGGCUGCCUUUGCCAAACUAUUAAUUUUAUUUAAUGAUAAAAAUUGAUGUUGUCUUUGUACUUUUAGGAAAACAAACAAAAAGUUAAAAUACGGUGGAAACAAUUUGAUAAAAAAAUUGGAAUUUUUUUUGAAAAUAAUGUAUUUUAAUUAGUUUGAUAUAAAAUAGAAACAUUAGGAAAUAUCACAUUCUAUGUUUUUAAUCUUUACGAAAAUAUUUAUUAGUAUAAUUACGUGGUACAAGUAAAAAUCUUCUAGAUAAACUAGAAUUCUCUAUAAGUUGAAUUGCUGUCUGAUUGAGGAGAAGCGGAUUGAGCUUCAAGAAAAAGGAAAAGUAGAGAAAGAUUCAUGUACAAAAUAAAGUUAAUAAAAAAGUAUAAAUAGUAUAAGUGUGAAUAGGAGAUAUACCUGGAUCAAUAGACACACAUUAAAUCGAUUAAUAUUUCAUAUAUGAUAAUAAGAUCAAGAGAUAAUAUGAAUAAAUUUGGAUUGGACUCAAAUAAACCUUUAUUAUAAAAGUUAUUGGGUUUGGACUUAUUUAGUUUUAAAUAUAUAAUUUUGGUUUAAUAAAUUUUAAAUGAUUUUUAUUUUUAUAAAAUUAAAGUAUACAUGAGAGAGUCCGUGUAUAUAUUAAUCUCACAUGACAUUAAAAUCGAGUUUUAUAUUAAAAGUUUUAAAUGUACAAAGGUGAACUUCAGGGAAGACAAAGUAAAAAAAAUUAAAAAUUUUAAGUGGAUCUCCCUUUAAUUUAAAAAUGCAAAUGAGAUUGGGAAAAAGAAUCGAAGAUCCGUAUUAUUAGAUUUGUGUGAGAAAAAAAAAAUCGCAUUCUUUCGUUCAAAAUUUUCUUAAAAAAACUGAAUUUAUAUGUGAUAGUAGCUCAUCCUCUGCAAUUAUAAAAAUAAAAUAGACUAAAUUCUUAUUACAAAGCAAGAGAGGAGGAAAAGAUCUAAGAGUUUUUAUAUCUUGGUAUGCAUUUAGCUACAGUAUGAGCUCCAGAUUUAACUGAUAACAUAGUCCAUGUAAUUUAAUUUGGACAAUGAAUGAAAAGUGACAAUGACUUCCAGAUAUCCAUGAUUUAAAUUACAAUGGAAAAAUAGAAGAAGAAAUGAGGAAGAAUGUGAGGGACUGGGACUAAUUAAUAUAUUAAAUAUUUUACAUCUAACUCUCUUAAUGUAUACACUUCUUCUGAACUUUAUCUGAGAUGAACAGUUAUAGAGAUGAACAGUCAGAGAGGGUGUUGAAAGAGAGAGCUCCCAAUGCAAUUCACAUCCUCCGCUUCAUGCUCUACCAUAUCACUCUCAAAUGGCUGCCAUGCAAUGUGCUCUAACUUCUCUUAUGGACUCUCAAAACAAACCAUAUGCCUUCAACAAAUCAACAUUAGAAUUACCUUUCCAGGACGCUUCUUCUUCUUCCAGCAACAAUGAGAAAUUCUCUUCAAAAUCCAAAAAGUACUCCUCUAAUUUACACCUCACCAUCUUUCAGCCAUGGGAAAUCAUACACCCCAAGUCCCAACUCGAAUUCCCAUGCAUCUCAACAACAAUCCUCUUUCUCUCUAAUAAAGAACGAAGAAAGAAAGAACGAGCGAUUUUUUUCCCUCACACAAACCUUAUAAUACGGAUUCUUAAUUUUUUAAUGCCAUGUAUGAUUAAUGUAUACAUUGAUCAUAUCACGUAAGCGAAACUUAAACGAUCUUUUGUUCAAUUUGACGGCAGGCUCUAAUUACUUCAAUUUUUAAAAAAUAAGGAUCUAAUUAAGAUGGCAUAAAAAAAAAGGGACUUAUUUGACAUUUUGGACCAAAAUAGGAACAAACCGAGACAUUAAACCUAUAGUCUUUCAUAAUUAUUCUUUUCCAUUUGUUAUUUAAAAAACGUUAAAAUUAGAAAAUGUUAAUUUAUAUAACAAAGAUAAUAAAGAAUUUUAAAUGGAAAUAAUUAUAAUUUUAAAGCAUAAAAUUUAAUAAAUCUAUACUUAUAUAUAUAUAUAUAUAUAUAUAUAUAUAUAUAUAUAUAUAUAUAUAUAUAUAUAUAUAUAUAUAUAUAUAUAUUAUGGGUUUGUUAACGUGCGUAUGCCUCUUUUCAGUUGGUACAUUUUAACAAUGUGUACCGGAUUAUAGUAGACAAAAAUAUCAUCAUAUAUUAUGGAUUCUAAGUUUUAAAGUCAAGGAUAUUUAAAUAAUUUUCAUUCUGAAAACUAAAAAAAAAAAAGAAAUCCCCAAACCCUUACUCACCUCUCCCAUUCCUAUCAAUUCUUUCUGUUUCAUUUCUCUCACUCCAACUUUUUCUCUGUCAUUUUUACUAUAGCCCCAAUUAAAAAAAAUUAGAAAAACUUGCUGUUAAGAAAUUUCUUACAAAAAAAUGAUUUUAUAAUGAGUUUUCAUUUUAUAACUUUUGUCUUAUCUAAUUUUCACAAGCAUAAUGACAUAUGAAGGAAUUGGUAAUUCGCCUGAAAAAAAAAAUAAAAAACACUCGCUAUUAAACAAUUUCUUACAAAAAAUGAUUUUAUAAUGAGUUUUCAUUUUAUAAUUUUUGUCUUAUCUAAUUUUAUUUAAUUUUCACAAGCAUAAUGACAUCAGAAGGAAUUAGUAAUUGGCCUGAAGAUUUUUUAAGAAAUGACGAUUCAACAUCUGCAGAUGAUGAAAUUAGAGAUGUUAGUGAAGAUGAUGAAAUUGAAGAGAUCUUGAAUGAACCUUUGCCUGAAAGCGAAUAUGCCAAUGACUCAACUCUUUACAAAGGUAAAUUGUUUAAGGAUGAGUAUUUCUAAUUUUUUUUUCAAUUGGAUCUACCAUAGGAUGAUAGAGAAACGGUUGGAGUGAGAGAGAUGAAAGAGAAAGGAUUGAGAGGAAUGAGAGAGGUGAGUAAGGGUUUGGGUUUUUUUUUUNUUUUGUUUUGAGAAUGAAAAUUAUUUAAAUAUCCUUGACUUUAAAACUUAGAAUCUUAAUAUAUGAGGGUAUUUUUGUCUACUAUAAUCCGGUACACAUUGUUAAAAUGUACCAACUGAAAAAUAGGCGUACAUAUAUAUAUAUAUAUAUAUAUAUAUAUAUAUAUAUAUAUAUAUAUAUAUAUAUAUAUAUAUAUAUAUAUAUAUACAAACACACACACACAUACGGGGUUUGUUAACAUACGUAAGCUAUAUUUUUACAGUUAAUACAUUUUAGCAAAGUAUACCGAGUUUUAGUAGACAAAAAUACCCUUAUACAUUAUGGAUUCUAAGUUUUAAGGUCAAAGAUAUUUGAAUAAUUUUCGUUCUUAAAACUAGAAAGAAAAACAAGAAACCUGCAAACCCUUAGUCACCCUUCUCUCAUCCCUCAUUCCUCUCAACCAUUUCUCUUUUAUCACUCUCUGUAACCUUUUCUCUGUCAUCCCUAUAAUAGCCCCAACUGAAAAAAAAAAAAUCAGAAACACUCGCAUAACCCUAAUCCACCUUCCUCAUUUAUCCAAUUUGUUUCUCUCUCAUCUUCACCUCUCUCGUCCACACACAGUAACUCGCGACAUUGCAAUUUGUAGUUCUUGCUCUGUUCGUUCAUUUGUUUCCACUUUAAUAACAAAAUAAUUGAUGAUGUUGAUGUUGAUUUUUGAUUGAAGGGUUGUUAUAUUUUUUUCCCUUAUGAUUAUUAUUAAAUUUUGUUUUUAAAUUUUAGAAUUAGUAGUUUAUCUAUAGGGAGAUUUGAUAUUUUGACUAUUAAGUUGUCCGAAAAUAUUUUUCAGAAGAGAAAAAUAGUUACGUGGAAAGGCGAUUCCCGAAAGGGUAAGUCAUUGUCCAAAAAAUGGAUUUCUGAAGUCAGUUCUUAAAAAUAAUUCUAAAAACAUAUUUUGCGCUGAAAGCAAUACUUUGGAAUAUACUUUUCACCUUCCUGCAUAUAACCAACGUCAAAACACAACAAAAAAUGAAGCUCAUGUACAUCGUACUAAAUGAUUUAACAGGAAAAAAUUAUUGAAGAGAGUUAUGAACAUAAAAGAAUUUUGUUGUUGUCCACUAGACUUUUCACUCAAUUCUGGUUGUGUAAUAUUGUUCAUCACUCCUGAUGUCCACUAGACAAACUCGUCUAGGUACCGCUUAAUCCAACCAAGUUAAGCCUUAAGUGUUUGAAUUAUCUUCAAAAUAUGCAAUCAAUCAAAUCACCUACAAGUCAUUAGAUGAUUACUCUCAUAGUGAGGAUUUGCUUACAAUAUAAUUCAAUCUAAUAGACUUUUGAAAUUUUCUUUUUUCUUACAAGUGUAACUUUCUAACUCUAAACAACUCUGAGAGUAUUCUUGAUCUUUCAAUGAGGAUGAUUUUUCUUUAUAUUCCUUAUGUGUCCAUCCUUUUUUCCUUCUUAACCAGAUAUCUUCUCUUUAUAAGCGUUUUUUGAGAAUUUAGUCGUUAGAUGAUGCUUGUCUUUGAAUUUUAGCUCUUUGUAGCCUGCCUUUAUCAUAGGUGGUUGUCAUAGGUUGAGGUCUACUUGUCAAAGUAGGCUUACUUUUUUAGUACUUUAUCAAAAGUAGGUUGUACGAAUUCUUUGGCUCGACUUUUGAUAAGAAGGUCAUUCCAUGAAUGUCUUCUUUGUCUCUAACUUGUAUUUGAUAGAGAAGGUGGAUGCUUGACUUAGGUAAUUUGCAUAAAGUAGAGUAGAUAUUCAUACAAGCAUAUAUGUCUGUUUUCCUUUCACUUUUGCUAUUUUGAGACAUUGUGUUUUUUAAUGCGCGUUUAGAACAACUAUAAGUAUUUUAAAAUUUCCUUGCUCAAGCAGCAUUUGGUUGUUUAAGCAUUCUAGUAGAGAUACCUAGUAGAUCAUGAGAGUUUCAUCAUUGGAUGAAAACUUCGUUUAGCACAUGAUAUCGUUUAGCCUAUGCAAGGCUUUUCAUAAUAGUGCCUUGUUUAAUAAAUACUCGUUUGAUUUAAGAGCGCAUUUAGUGAGAUAUCUUUCAACAUCAAUUUUUGGAACAAUGAUUGUAUCUUUUAGCACAUUUACCAAAAACAUCAUUUUAUAUAUAUCAUAGUGAGAUCUUGUUUAGCUUUGUUUAGCAAAGUAUAGCACAAAUGUGUUUAACAAGACUCUCAUAUAGCUCAAUGACGCAUUUAGUAGUGAAAUCGUUUAGUAGUGCAUCUACUUAUGUAUUAGUGCAUUUAUUAAAGUUUUUUCUUUCAUGGAAAGUCUUUUUAUGUAGCGAUAUGAGUUUUACAAAGGUAAUACUUUGUUAAUCAUCUAUUUCGGUCAUAUUCUUAUUUACUAAUUCUCAAGUCAUGUGAAGAUGCUAAACAAUCUUGAUCUUAUCUUAGCAAACUUCCUUUCUUCUUGUAGUACUGAUUUAUUGUGUAGCACUAUCGUUUUGUAUUAUGUCUCUUCUUAGGAAUGAAUUGUUUUCUUUUAGGAUGAAGAUAUAUUCUUUUAUUUUACGAAUAUUUUAUUUGCAAUGCGUGAUUACUUGAUAGAUUCUUGCACUCAAUGUUUUGUCAGUUUUACUUGGACACUUCUUAUGCUUAUUGCUUUGUAAUUGUAUAUUUGUAGGCAUACUGUAUGUAGGCUUCUUCUAUGUUUCUAUGUUAUUUCAGCUUAUCUCUUUUGUUGUUUAACAACUUAUGUAACUUUAGAUGUAACCUUGAUUUUUACUUUGAUUUGGCUUGACAAUAUAGAUGCUUCUAACCUUAGACGUUUUUCUUUUGGACAUCUUUUUUCCGCUAAAUGGAUAACUAGAUGGUUUGCAAAGUCCACUUUCUAGUGUUUAGAUGAUUUUUCUUUUACAAUUAUCAGAUAAUGUCAUCGAUAAAUAUAUCAUCCAUAAAUAUCAUCCAUAAAUAUAAUGAAUAAUUGUACUUAAUUUAUCUAUCAUUCUAAAAAUAACUUUUUUUUCUAAUCGACUUAAUGAGUCCACUACUAAAUUUAUUAUUAUAUAUUAUUUAAUAAUAUUAUCUUGAAAAUAUUUUAUCAAGAUAAUUUUAUGAAAUAUUAAUUAAAAAACAAUAAACAUUUAUAACAUUUAUAAGAAAGUGUGAUAUUUGAGAAAAACAUAAUAUAAUAUUUAAAAUAAAAGACAACUUAUUAGAAGAAAUGAGAAGAACAGGGAUGGAACUAAAGGUUAAUAAAUAAAAUUGAUGUUUUUCUAUUUUUACAAUUAAUUAUUUUUAGAAUAAAAGUUGUGUAUGGAAUUAAAAAUUCUAUACAAUAAUUUGUUAAGAGAUAAAAUAUGGUCGUAGAGGAUUAAUAAUUUAUUUAUUAAUUUUUCUAUUACUUUUGAUAGUUAACCAUGGAUGAUUGUUAUAGUUUUUUAGAACAUUAGUUACUUUCCUUAGUUAGUUUUAAUUUUUUUUUUCUACAAAUAGUUGAGUAAAUUAUUUUUCUAUACCAUAUGUUACGGAUGUUUCUUUAAUUAGUUUUAUACUUUCUAGCAAAUAAUUAAACACAAUUAUUAUCUUACGCAUGAAUGUGAAACAUGAUAUAAAUGUGUAAAAUUAACUUAUGAAAUCUUAUGAAAUAUAUGUUAAUGAAGUUGAAUCUCAUUUUCAAUUAAAAGGAAAACAAACUGAAAGAAAGACAACACCAAUUUCAUUCAUGUAUUUAUGAGGUGUCAAAGUUUCAUUUUAACAUUUUGUCUUUUCACAUAAUAUUAAUUGAAAAAAAAAAGUAAUGAAAAGGUGGAGAAAAAAAUGUAUGAUUUUAGUAUGUCUUCCGUUGUAGCCAAAAAACUGCUCACUGAAAGGAAUUAAAAAAUAGAUUUGAAUAGGAGUCUGUCAGACAACCCUGCAACCAUCCCCAGCUUGUAAAGUCAGGGAACGAUCCUCUACAGCUGGUGAUGGGUCUCGUCCAGAAACGAAGCCCACACUGCCGUUAAUCACGCUCUGAUCACAGGGUAAUAAUUCAUCCACCAGACUUCAGUUCCUGUCUCCUUAGAACUUAAGGAUACAGAGGUACGAACCUAUAGAACAGAUCCUGUUCAAGUAAGGUCGUGACCAUGAAUGUCAGCUGGUCAUUUAUAAACGUACUUUCUUUUCAUAGCUCUUUCGAUGUGGGACUAUAUUAGCUUUUUUUAUCGCGUUUUUUAAACACGACAAUAAGAUAAGAGGAUUUCACUGCUAACUUAGCUGCCCUCCUAGCCUCAUCAUUUUACACUGCACCCUAUUUUUCAUUUCACAAUUUUUCUAUUAACUUCUGCUAUCCUUAUUUCUUUUUUCUCUUCGCAUCUAUGGUGUUUUUAAUGUCAUUUUGAUUUUAUGUACUUUAUUACCAUUUAUCAUUUUAUAUCAUCGCAGUCAUAUUAUUAACCAGUACUAUUAUACAUUAAUGAUUUUUUUAGAAUAAUUCCAAUCUUCAUUUUAUGUUUAAAAUUAACUGUAAACCAUAUUUUACAUAUAACUCCUCCACUAAUAAUACAUCAAAUGAAUUUUGAAAAGUAUCACUAGUAUUCUUACUCUUUUUUUCAACGUUUUUCAAAAACAAAUAAAAAGACUAUUUCUUUCACUCAUUCCAUAUAAUUAUUAAUUUAAUUUCAUUUUUAUUUAUCAAUUAAUUGCGAGCUUUUUCUGAUUCUAUUUUUUUUUUUUACUUUUAGAUUAUGAAUUACUUUCAUAAUUGAUUUGGUUGACUCCGCGUUGAUGAUAAAUUUUAUAUACAUUUUUCUUCUAUGUAUUUUUAUCUUUGAUAAAAAGAAAAAAGUUUGAUCUUUCACUUAAGAUAUGUCUCCUUUCUUUUCCAAAAUUUUACUCUCUAUUUGAUCAAACUUGGCCAGAGGAGGCUUGUAGACCUAAGGAGUGAGGCGACCAAUGAGGACGUGGUAUUUACGUGUAUAUUCAAUUCAUGGGAGAUUAAUCUCAUAAAUAUUUUUCACUAUAUUCAACAUAAUAUUAGAGUCUAAAUUCUUUUGAGAAAAAUAUUUUUGUUACCCUUGUCACUACAAUUGUUGCUACUAGUGGCAACACUGUCUAUCGUCAUUGUCGUUGUCACUAUCAGAGUUCUAGUUUCAACCAAUGACCAUAUGGUUUUGAUCAUCUCGGUCAGGUGACCACCGUAUAAUCAUCAGUCGUCCUAAGAAUUUUUUACUCAAUAGUGUCUUUUUCAUUGGUUUUCAUUGUCCAUUGUCGUUACUUGUUAUCGCUCCUCGUAUAGGGUUGUCUGUUUCUACGUGUUUUGAUGAAUAAAAGAGACCAUUAUUUUGAAUAGUCAAAUUUUUCACCUUCAUUGGCGCGCCAUCAUUUAUGUAGUUCGUUGGGAGGGGAAGUUUGUUUCUAUGUGGUCCAAUCUAGCCAUCCUCUCCCUACAAUCAUGGUUCAAACCAAAAACAAGGCAAAAUUAUCAAGACUCACCAAACACAACCAAUGCAUGUUCCCGUAUACUUUAUAACCGCAAUUAUAAUUUAUGAGCUCUUCCAAUUCUAUUUUUUUCUUUACUUUCACAUUAUGGAUUACUUUCAUAAUCUAUUUGUUGACUUGCGUUGAUGAUAAAUUUUAUGUAUAUUUUUCUUGGAUGUACCUUUAAUAAAAAGACUAAAGUUUGAUCUCUCACUUAAGAUAUGUCUCCUUUCUUUUCCAAAAUUUUACUCCUUGUUUGAUCAAAAUUUUAGUGAUGUGAGUAUUCCUUCUUUUUUUUUUAACAAAUUCCUUUUUAAAUUUACAUAAAAUAUUUUAAUUGGUUGUUGUUUUCUUAUAUAGAAAUUUAACAGUGUCAUAAAGUUAGAAUUUGUAAAAUAUUAUAAAUGAAUAAUAGAUUUUAUAAAAGACAUUCAAAUAAUAUUUAAUAAAAUUCUAUAACAAAAAUUGAUUUAAAAAGAAGUUUUUUAACGUGUCAUAAAGAACAAAUUCUGUGAGAGACAUAAUUUCUUUUGAGACUGAGUAGAUCUGAAAUGAUAAAAGCCAAAAUCUAGAAAUUCGUAUUACAUGUACAUAAUUUUUUAAUCAUAGAUCUCAACAAUAAAACAGCUAAUGAGUCGUGUAGAUAGUGAAAGCCACUACUUGCAAAAUUCCUAUUUCUAUUUGCAUAAUUCCAAAAUAUACAUUUUAUAUAGCUUAUUUAUAUGUAGAAUGAUGCAGAAAUGAAUUUAUUUUUUAAGCUUUUACUCUCAGCAAGAAAUUAAAGCAAAGAAAACUAUAUCUGAACUGGAAUCCUAAGACAGAAAGAUACAAAAUGAAAAGAGAAAGGGUUGGGUAAAAAGCUUUUUCCUGAAGCCUUUGUUACUCUCAAAACAUCAAUGUAGAAGUGUUCAAGGGCACCAAUCCAAUGCUAAAUUUUUAUUGAUGUUAUCUUUAAGUUAAUUAUUAUAAAAACCUUUUCAUUUGAUAUUUCUUUUUCAUUAUAAAAUAUCUAAUAAUUUUAUAAUAAUUAAGAUUUUUUUAAUCCGAUCUAAAUCAUACCACAAAUAUUUAUUUUAUUUAUCUUUUUUAAAUUAAAUUAAACUAAUGGAAAUAAUAUUUUAUGUUUAUCAGAAAAUUAUAUUUUUUUUGUCUAUCAAAGAAUUUAUUAUAUUAAAUAUAUUUUUCUCCUCAAAUAUAAAACUCACCAUAUUUCAUAUAAAUUAGUCAAAUAUUCCACGUUCAACACAAUCAUUUAACUUAUAAUUUAUAAUAUAUUCAUCUAUUAUAUUUCAUAUUUUCUUAUAAAUAUAGUUUCAUAAACAGCAUCUUUUUACAAAUAUAUAUAUAUAUAUAUAUAUAUUAUAAAUAUAUAUAUUUAUAAUUGAUUGAUGAAUGUAAGAUUAACCCAACACAUUUAUUUUAUACAAAUUUCAAUGAUAUUAAGUUAAAUCAACUUUUGAUUCACAGAGUAUUUCAAUAUGUAGUUUUUGUCCAUGUACAAAUUUAACAGCAUGUUAAUUGGGUAUUCUAAGUUUAUAAAAUUAAACACUUUUAGUUCAAAGAGGACAUAUUUUUUUCCUAAUAAAAAUAUUAAUUUUGUUGUCAUAAAAAAUAUUAAAAUUUUUAAUUAAACAUUAUUAUUAUUAUUAUUAUUGCUACUUUAUGUAAAUAAUGUUUGAAAUAGAAAAACAUAUUAAUUUUAGAGAAUUGAUAAAAUUACAUAUUUUUAGUGUAGCUUGAGCUGACUAAGGAAAACAUGAGCAACCUUAAAUUGAGCACCCAAGUGCAAGAGCAUGAGAGACAAAUGUGGCAUAUAGCAGAGAGAAAAGGUUUUGAGAGAAAGUACACGUAAGUCAGAAACUGAAUAGACAUGCAUGUCAUUGUACAAACAAACUCUUCUCUUACCCUACACACAAUUUCCUUCUAAGGAAACAAAUAAACAUUUAUUAUCAUUACUGGAAUUAAUUAAAAUCUAUGGGCAAUUCAACCAGUUAAUUUUAUUUUUCCAAUUAUAUUAAUCUACCAUUCUCAUAUUUUGAAUUCUUUUCCUUUUUCACCAAGAAACCACAACAGCACACUUAGCAUGGUUACUGCAACGUGUGUGUGAUGCAGGAGUGGGGCAAAUUCCGUUGAGAUCCGUGUGAGCACGCAUUCGUUUUUCGCCGUCGUUCUUUUCCAAACAAGAAUAUUCUUCUUUUGUGAUGUUCUGGGAAUUCAACUGAAUUUCAAUAAAACCCCUCUGUUUGUGUGAUUUUCUCUUUCUUCUCUGGGCCCGUGCCUACUGUUUUAUGUGACUGGGGACACUAAAAAGCAGAAAAUUUGCAUUUUGGCUUGGAAUUCUCUGAGAGAUGGGUAGUAGCUGCCCUUGUUUCGGGUCGAGGAAGAAGGGUAAAGAGAAGAGUGUCAAGAGGCGGGAUGAGGAAAACAAGAAUCUCAAAUCUGUAAAGAACACCAAUGAUGUCUCUGAAAGUUCUCCAGGUUACUUUUUUCCUAAAGAUUCAAUCUUUCAAAACGAAUUCUUACAUUUUUUGCCAAUUUUUUUUUAAUGGGUUUGGGUUUUAAGUCACCACAGAGGACAGAUUGGUUUUUAGGUGAUGUUUCUAGUGAUUAUUGCUUAUAGUUCUCAUCUCAUUUGAUUAUUAUCUUAGGGUGAAAGAAAAAAGGUCUUGGAUGAAUGUUGUCUUCUUGGAGUAUUUCUUAUUUGAAAAUUGAAGUUCUGAUUAUGUACACUGCAUAAAGCUUAGUACCUUAUUCCCAAAAUCAAUUAAAAACUAAAGGGGGUGUUCAAAUUUCAUUCCCCCGCCUAAAUGCCUUUUUCUGUCUUGCUACUGCGUUGUUUUUCACUCUAGUCUUGGGAAAGCAAAAGCAUGCAUGUUAAAUUCUGGAAGAUAUUUUUUAUGGCGAAAUUUUGUGAAGUGAUUGUCACUAGUCUGAGAGUAUAUGCUUCAUGUGAUAUGCUUUCUUUUAGGCCUCUCGUAAACUUGAUGAAGUGAUUUGCUUCGUGUGGACUGAUUAUAGAUAGUUUUUCGUGGUAAUUGAACAUAUAGAUAGAUGUCCUGAGUUUUUCUUGGCUUAGUUUGAUUUUGUUUAGCAAUUCUUUGACAUGACAAUUUUACAAAGAUUAUCACUUGUUUAUAAGCUACUGAAGGAAAGCUCUGCAAUUAAUUUUGAGUGGUUAUUUUUUAAGACAAUUUUAUAUCUUCAAUGCAUCUCUUUAGAAAAAAGUAUAUAGAGACUUUCACUUUUAAAAGUUAAUAUUAAACCACCUAGAUAUGUAGGCACAUAUAUAAUUAGUCCAGAUUACUCAAUAGGAACUUGUGUCUUUGGAGUGCCUAAGUUUCACAUUGAGCAUUAUGCUUGUGUAAAAAAAGUUGUUAUAGUAUUAAAAGCGAGAUCUCUUUCUAUUGUCUUUUGCUUUACUUGUAUACUCUAGUGAUCAUAACUUGGUUUUAUACAGGGAAUGGACCAGAGGAAAACCCAGUAGAGGAGGGCGAAAGUUCUCAUAAGGCCCGGAUAUUUACCUUCCGAGAGCUUGCAACAGCAACAAAAAGUUUUAGAGAUGAAACCUUUAUUGGACAAGGUGGAUUUGGCAUUGUUUACAAGGGAAUAAUUCGGGAAAAUCAGGUAUAACAUGAUGGAUCGAUUUUCUGUGUGCCUGUUUCUUCAUUUACAAUACCCAUCAGUAUGCUACAUUGCUGUGCAAUAUAGUUCUUUAAACAAGCUACUGGACUUGAUCAGGUUGUAGCUGUUAAAAGACUUGAUACUACAGGUGUUCAAGGGGAGAAAGAAUUUCUGGUGGAAGUUCUCAUGCUUUCCCUUCUACGCCAUCCCAACCUUGUUAGCAUGAUUGGGUACUGUGCGGAAGGAGAUCAACGUCUUCUUGUGUAUGAGUACAUGGCUUUGGGAUCCCUAGAAUCUCAUCUUCAUGGUAUAAUACUAUAAAGCAACCUUUUUCUUCAAUGCCAAAUUGUAAUCAGUUACUAGUUACUCCAUGUAUCUUUUUCCUGCCAUCUUUUCUGCCCAUGAAUUGGAGGAAAUUAUGUAAAGCCUUAGAGUUUAUUACUAUCUGAGGGGAUUGUACAUGAUUUACUGAGCUGAAGAGGGUUGCUACUAAUUAGUUCAAUAAGGCCAUGUUUAGUAUCACAUGUUAAUGCUUUAUAGCUUAACGUAACUACUGCUGUAUCUUGUCUGUUCUUGACGUGCGACUUUAUUCACCAAAAGUACAUUUAGAUCUUUGUAUCUUUAAUAUUUGUUUAUGGUUAUCUGCAGAUGUUUCUCCUGAUGAAGAGCCACUUGAUUGGAAUACCAGAAUGAUUAUAGCUUGUGGAUCAGCAAAAGGGCUACAUUAUCUCCACGACGAAGCAAAGCCUUCAGUUAUAUACAGGGAUCUUAAAGCAUCCAAUAUACUAUUGGAUGAAGAUUUCCAUCCAAAACUUUCUGAUUUCGGGCUCGCAAAAUUUGGUCCAACCGGAGAUCAAUCAUAUGUUGCCACAAGGGUCAUGGGAACACAAGGUUACUGUGCCCCUGAAUAUGCCACUAGUGGAAAAUUAACGAAGAGAUCUGACAUAUACAGUUUUGGGGUUGUGUUACUGGAACUAAUUACUGGACGCAAAGCAUAUGAUGAUAAGCGUGGCCCUGAAAAGCUUCUGGUAGACUGGGUAAAUUCCUAUAUUGAUUAUAUUUUGUUCCAUUUCUGGCCAAUGAUGAAUGACACAAAACGUUACUUUCUCCUUUUUCUCUAAGUUGAAUAAUAUUCAUCAGAUUAAUUAGCUUUUUGGAUUUGCUCUGUUUGCAUUUCCUUGGAAUGCUAUCUUCACUCUUUAAGGAAUCACAAUUUGAGAAAACAUAAUGGUUUGGUUGACUAUGAGAGAACAUAAGACUUAAACAGUGAAGGUUGUUUUUUCCUAACAUAUGUAGGCACGUCCAAUGCUGAGAGACAAAAGGAGUUUCCCAAGAUUGGUAGAUCCAGGGCUUAAAGGGAAGUACCCAGGAUCAUGUCUAGCGAUGGUGAUUGAAUUGACAGCCAUGUGUCUUCGUGAAGAGCCACGUCAACGGCCUAAUGCAGGUGAUAUAGUGGCAGCUCUGGAAUUCUUGUCAUCCAAGCAAUAUUCCCCAAAAGUGUUGAACACAGUCAACAACAGAACUGAGAUGGAGAGUGGAGAGACCCCAAAUGAAACAAGAGCCAUUUUGCCAAAAGAAUCAGUGAGAGAGCGAGCUGUUGCAGAAGCCAAGCUUUGGGGGGAGACAUGGAGGCAGAGACGACAAAGUGAGCAAAACAGUCCUAAGGAACCCCACAUAGGGUUGUGAUUCAACAUGAUGCCAUAGUUGGCCAUCUUUUUUUCUUAAAUAGUGCUGUUUUGGCACUUGUGAACUUGAGGCUCAAUUUCACAUGCUUUGACAUGAGGUUUCAGAUUACAUGGUUGCUCUUGCUUUUCUACUCUGAGAAAUAUGAUACAUUAGUAGUAUUUCUAUGUUUUAACAAAAAUAAAUAGCAAAAAUAGAUUGGAUUGCUGAAUUUUCCUUGUGUGUAUCAUGUACUAGACAUUUAAGCUAGAGUAGAAAUUACUGCUGUCAACUGUUUGGUAGUCUUUAUAGAAACCUUUAUACAUAUGGACAUAUGGCUCAUUCAAUCUUAUCACAUGAAAAAGUUCAAGUAUAUAUAGCAGGUAUAUAUUACUUAAUAUUUUGGUUCUGUUUGGUUGAAAAUUAGUAACUUCGUAAAUACACAAAAUGCUAUAUAUAUUCUAAUCACAAAUAAUAUUAGUAAUGUUGUCAUCCGUUUAAAAAUUUUCAGUACUCAUAAAUAUUUUUAAUUAUUUUAAAAUUAGUACGAAUAAUUUUUUCCUUUUAGUUUAUUAUUAUAAUAUUUAUCUUAAUUUUUAUUGUCAUAGGAUCCCAAAGAACGUGUCGAGUUUGUGGUAUGCGUUCGAGAGAAAAAUAAAUAUUUUUGACACCAAUUAAAUUAUCUAAUUCAAACAUAAAUUAAAUUGUUGAACAAAUAAUUAAAUUAAUAAAAAUAGUUGUAAGGAAGGGGUUGAAAUUUGGGUGUCAACCUAUUAAUUCCUAUAUAUGGAUUAGUACUAUUUCUACCUUUAUUAUUUGAUUAAAAAAUUAUUUAAAUGUGUAACUAUUUAUAAAUAUAUCUUUUCUCAAAUGAGUGACAAUUUCAUACCAUUAAGUACAAUUUAAACUCGUUCAUAUAUUUUGAUUAUUUUGCCAUUUAUCUCUUAUAAAUAAGUUUUUCUUUAUAUAUAUAUAUAUAUAUAUAUAUAUAUAUAUAUAUAUAUAUAUAUAUAUAUCACAUUAUCAUAUGUUUUUUUUAAUGUCUCAAUAGGUCCUUAUUUUCGUUCAAAAUUUCAAAUAGGUCCCUUUCUUUUUCGGUGUCUCAAUUAAGUCCUUAUUUUCUUAAAAUUGAAUCAAAUAGGACAUUUCCGUCAAAUUGAGAUGACGCAGUUAAGAAGAGUAUCUUGACCGUGUAGUUUUUCAUUACAUAAAUGUAACUGAAUUGUAUUUUUUUAAUGUUUAAAUUAAAAAAAUGAAGUAUACUCUGUAUAUUUUGUUUUUUAAUUCGAAAAUUAAAAAAAUACAAUUCAAUCACAUUUUUAAUGCCACGUAAUAAAAAACUACACUGUAUAUCCUUCUUAACGGCGUCAUCUCAAUUUGACAGAAAGACCCUAUUUGAUUUAAUUUUACAAAAAUAAGGACUCAGUUGAGACGUCGAGAAAGAAAAUGACCUAUUUAAAAUUCUGGACGAAAAUAGAGACUUAUUGAAAUAUUAAACCUAUUUUUUUUUAAUCCGAUUACCAUAUAAAGUGCUAAUGCUAAUCAUAUUACAUACUUUUUAUAUAUUAAUAUUUUUCUAAAAAUGAAAAUUAUUUUCAGAUUAGAAUCAAUCGAAGAAGAACAAAGGAAAUAAAUUAUAUUGAGAUUAUCUAACAACCAAUAAAUGAAAUAUACAAUCAUAAUAUAAGUUAAAAAAUAAAAAUAAAAUACUAAAAAUACACGUCAUUAAUGCUCAAGUUCAUUCAUGUCAAAUAAAUGUGGUACACUCUUUCCUUUUUCAUCAACACGUUAAGCAUUUUGAAGUUACGUUAAUGGUUAUAAACAUAUGAAUUAUUUAGAAAGUUACCAAACCUUGAUUUGUGUAGUUUUGGAUUUGUUGGAUAGUGUACUUGUGGCUUUACAAGUUUAAUUGCCGAAUUAGAAUUUUCUUCUUGAAAAUUAUAUAAUUUUCGUUCAUAAUCUUUCCGGAAAGAGUAUUUUUCUUUUUUAACUCACCACCAUAACUAAGGCAUAGAAGUUUGAUUGCUUUAAUUAAUUAAUUAUAGGAAAUGCCUUUUGUUUUUUUAAAUGUGAAAUGGAUUAAAUUGUUUUCUUCAUGUUUUGUUGUUAUUAAACAAAGCAGGCAAAAGUUGAUACGUUUGUUGUACCAAAAAAUGAGAAAUUUAUGGUACAAGUCAAUAUAAUAGUUAAUCACAACUCAGACAACCAUUAACAUUGAUAUUUUUCUGAGUCACAUUGAAAAGCGUGUGAAGUUUACUUGGUCUUGUGAGCUAAGAAAAGAAAACACGAGAUCCUAUUGGAGGUUAUGAUAACUGCCAAUAAAGCAAAGGACCCACGUUCUAAUUUUCUUAUUAGGUGAACAUUUGUAUGCAUGAUAUGCUCUUAUUUUAAUGGCAAAAAAUUAAGAGCCAUUGUUUUCUGAGCUUAGAAUUUAAAUACAAGGAUGGUGUUAGUGAGAAGAGAUUCAUGAUUGGUGGCAUGUCCGUAGACAGUGAACGUUGGGGUCUCAUCAUGUCUGUUCAAUCGUUUGCAAUGAACAACAAUGGAAUUGUUUGUGAUCUUCAGUCUCCAAUAACCCACUGGUCACUACAAGAAUGGAACUAACUAUUUUUAUAUUUUUUUCAAAAUAUUCUUACAAAUUUUUGACUUUUUUUUUCAACCAAGUUACUUUUAGGUUUAAUAUCUAUUUUAAUCCAUCUAAUUUGUAGGAUUUGUUUAAAGUUGUUCUUUCUUUUUUUAAAAGUUCACUAACAUCUUACUUUUCACAAAAACGGUGCACGUUAGUUUUUUUUAUUUACGAUGUUAAAAAGACUAACAGCAGAGUUGCCUACCUGAUGAAACCUGAAUGAGUUGUACAAUUUAUUAUUACUUGGCAUUCUCGGUUUUCCCCAUUUUCAUGGUUGAACCUUCGCUUUCCCUCGCUCUCAAUUCCCUCUUCCUCUGAGCCUCUUCCCGCUUCUCUCUCCUCCCUUUGCCGCCACACACCGUCUCCCUCCUUUUUGUCAAGCCCCAACACCACCCUUCCCUCCUUUACGCCAAAUGCAAAUCCUCCGAUGACAUCGACACCUCUUUCUUCGACAAUAUCAACAAAUUGGAAGACAUUGACUUCAACUCCCCGGAUUAGGGAUUAGGGUUUGGGAAAAGGGGAUUAGGGAUUAAGGUUUGGGAAAAGGGAGAAAAGGAGAUUAAGGUUUGGGAAGCAGCGCGCAAUUAUGGAUUUCACAAUGGAGAAGAAGGAAUCAAAGAACAACAACUCCAAUAACCCCGAAAAUGCUCAUCAAACGUUAGAUUCUUCUUCUCAGUUAGCGUCGACACUCUAGCAACAAAGAAACCAAAGAACAACAAUCUCAUGAACUCAAAGCCAGUCUUCACCCUCUGAAGAUUUCUCUCCCUCACUUUAAUUUUUUUUGUUUCUUGGCAAUUGAAUUACAGUGUAAUUGGUUAAUGAUGACGAUGAUUACAGUGAUUGAAGAAGAUGAAGAAGUGUGAUAAAGCUUUUGAGUGGAAAGGGGACUGUCACGUGGCAAUCUCUUAUUGGCUGAACUUGCCAACUAAUUAGACUAAUUGGAUAUGUCAUUUAAUUUUGGCCAGUUGAGCAAUUCUGCUGUUAGUUUUUUAACGUCGUAAGCAAAAAGGAUCAACUUAAACUAUUUUUGCAAAAAGUAGGAUGUUAAUGAACUUUUGAAUAGACCCUACAAAUCAAGGGACCAAAAUAGGCAUUAAACCUUACUUUUAUUUUGACUUCUUUUUUUUCUUUUUUUCCUACCUUUUCAUUUUCUUUGUCUUCUUUCCUCGUGGAGAUAAUACCACAACUUUCAUUAGAAUAUAUCGAUCCAUAAUACUUAAACGUCUAUGGAAGAAUUGAGAAAAGCUUAUAACUUGAUAGAGAUGAAAAGGUUAUGAAAGUGUAUUAUAUGACCGUGAUCAGUCAUGGACCGACAUUUGUAUGUCAAGCAACAAAACAUUUGGUCAGAAUAUUAAUAAGAUUAGUUGUCAAAAGUAAUUAGGUUAACCCUAAACCAGUUAUGGGUACAUGGACCGUAAUUGGGUCAACCCUAAUAAGAAACUAAUCACAAAAGUUUAUAAAUACAGGUUUGACAUUCAGGUAGUUUGUUACUUUUAUGACACAUUUAUGACAAAACUAUUCAAACAAACACUAACUUAAACACUUUUCCAUGUGGCACCCAAAGGAGCUGAAUCUAAGAACUAAACUGUGUACAAGAAGAAUUAAUCUCGACUUCAUAACGAAACAUAAAUACAAAAACAUUUUAAAAUAUUAUAUAUAUAAAAAAUGUUAACCUCAAUGUUAUCCUAAGUUUCAACAAUAGAAAAAGAAAACUAAAAAAUACUUAUUCUUCAUACAUAAAAGAUAUAGAAAAUACAUAAGAAAAUUUUAUUAAUCUUUAUGUUGUUGUAAUUAUAUAAUAGAAACUCUAGUAUAUUUCUAUCAAAUGCAUAAAAGUAAAACUAUAAUAAAAUAUUUGUAUUCUGUUUAAAAAUCCGUAAUAAAAUUAUGCAAUAAAAAAUACUUUCACAUUAUAUAGUUGACUUUUUUUACAUAAUAAAAAUGAAAAAGGUUGGUUAGUAAAUAUAAAAUGCAAAGAAUAUAGUAGGCAAAAAACAAGUGGGCACUAAUAAACCGUUACGUUAUGAUUUUAUGUAGUGUAAAGUAUUCAUUAUUUUCAGUACGCUCCAUAUGUAAUAAUUAGAAAAUUUAAUUUUAAGUAUUUAAAUAUAAAGACCAUGUUAUUUUAAUAUUAAAAUAACUAAAAAGUAUAAAUAUAAAUUUUAUUAAGAGUCUUUUUAUUUCAUAAGAAAAUCAAAAAGUGUUUAGGUGAUUACGAACUAUCUUUCUUCAUUCUUUUUUUUUUUCGAGUUUUAAUACCUAAGUUAUCCUUUUGAAGAUCAGAAAGUGUCUAAGUGAUCAUGACAACAAGAUCUUUAUUUUUAUCCAAUCAGUUUUUUCAAAAGAUUAAGUUAGUUUCUACUCUUUUUCUCGAGCCGUAUUUUUUUCCUUGCAUGCGAACAAUCUUCUGUUGCAUGUGUCUUCCAACAUUCUAGUAUGUUCCCUAUUGAUCAAUGGUUCUAAUCAUGUAUCCUAAUCAUGAUUUCAUGGUGUGUAGAUGCACAUAGAGCUCUUUAAGAUGAGGAAGCAGUUUCAAGUCCUUUCAAGCAUGUUUUAGCUUCUAUCAGGUAAAGGAAGUUAAAUGUUUUGUUUCUAAAGUCUUGUAACUUUGAUAAUUUGUUUUAAUGAGCUCUAAUUGAAGUAAAAUUGAUUUUGUAUGGUGUUAAGUAGGUAGCUUGCUAAAAUAUUAUUAUAUGGUAGUAUGAGUGCUUGAAAUUAAAUUAUAGUGUGUUAUCUGAGUUGGAAGAGUAUUGUUGUGAAUAUUGGUUAAUUCUUACUUGUUUUGAUCACUGAGAUGAUAUACUAAGGUUAUAAUUGGUUGGAAUAUGCUACUACAUCUUGAUGUAGUCAAUAGGUAGAGUUUUGGGCUAGUUUAUGGUCUAUUUUUGGGGUUUUGACAAGUGAAGAUAUAAAAGAGUUGGUUUGGGAAGAAAUUGAAUGUUUGUGGUCUGUUUUUGAGUCAUUUGUGACUUGUUUAACCACUUAGAUCAAUUAAAUAUGGUUUGUAACAUGUAGAAUUUGAGUUGUGAGCUUUUCAGUUGUUAGUUUGAUUUGGUUGAUGUCAUUCCUUAUCAAUUAAUAAAAUUGGUACUCAAUUUCAGUUAUAAACAUGUUUUUUGAAUCAAUUAUAGUGUCAAGGAUAUCAAUUUGGUCAUUUGGAUAGGUCUAGGGUACAACCAAAUUAGAAAAUCAAAUUGUUGUCAUCUGGUAUAGUGUUGAGCGACCUUGUUUGGAGUUGAGUGCUUCCAAAACUAAGAGCCUUGGGUUCUAGGACGUCGAGCGCCACUUUGGACGUUGCGCGCCACGAAGUUACGUAAACUUUUCAAUCCUCGACAAAGCUGUCAAAUUAUCUCCUUCGAAAAGUUUUCCUAUAACACUAUUCAACCCCCUCCUUCUAGUGUUUUUUUAGGUAUUUUAGACUUUAAAUGAGUCGGUGGAGUUAAAGAAGUAGAUUAAAGAGUUAUUUGAGAAACAAUUUAUCAAACCAAACAUAUCACCGUGGGAAGCAUCAAUGUUGCUAGUAAAGAAGAAAAAUGGAAGCUUUAGGCCGUGUGUGGACUAUAGGAAAUUGAACAAGUUAAUCAUCACGAAUAAGUAUCCUUUACUAAUAAUAGAUGACUUGAUGGAUCAGUUGCAUGGAGUGGUGGUGUUUUCCAAGUUAGAUCUGUGGUAGGGUAUCACUAAAUUCUAGUAAAAGCAGGUGAUGUGCAUAAAAUUGCCUCUAGGCCCAGAUAUAAGCACUAUGAGUUUGUGGUUAUGCCUUUUGGUGUGACUAUCGCUCCUGCCUUGUUUAUGGAUUAUAUGAAAAAGAUCUUUCAGAAUUUUCUAGAUAAGUUUGUGGUAGUCUUUAUAGAAGACAUUCUUAUCUACUCCAGUACUUGUGAGGAGCAUGAGGAACACUUAAGGAUAAUGCUUGGAAUCUAAAGAGAAGUUGUAUGCCAAGCUAUCAAAGUGUGAGUUCUAGAUGGAAAAGAUCCAGUUUCUAUAGCACGUGAAUCAACACAGGGUAUAUCAAUUGAUGUGCUCUAAUUGAAGUAAAAUUGAUUUGGUAUGGUGUUUAGUAGAUAACGUACUGAAAUACUAUUAUAUUGUAGUAUAAGUGCUUGAAAUUAAAUUAUAUGUGUGUUAUCUGAGUUGGAAGAAUAUUAUUGUGAAUGUUGGUUAAUUGUUACUUGUUUUGAUAACUUGAGAUGAUUAAUGUUAUAAUUGGUUGGAAUCUGCUAUUGCAUCUUGAUGUAAUCAAUAACUAGAGUUUUAGGCUAGUUUCUAGUCUAUUUUUGGAGUUUUGACAGAUGAAAAUAUAAAAGAGUUGGUUUGGGAAGAAACCAAAUGUUUAAGGUUUGUUUUUAAGUCAUGUUUGACUUGUUUAGCCACUUAGAUCACUAAAAUCUGGUUUGUAACAUGUAGAAUUUUAGUUAUGAGCUUUUGAGUUAUUAGCUUGAUCUGGUGGAUGUCAUUCUUGAUCAAUUAAUCAAAUUGGUACUCAAUUUCAGUUAUAAACAUGUUUUUGAAUCGAGUAUAAUGUCAAAGAAACCAAUUUGGUCAUUUGGAUAGGUUUAGGGUGCAACCAAAUCAGAAAACCAAAUUGUUGUCAUCUGGUCCACUUGCUGGGCGAAAAGUGUGGUUCACUAGGCACCCUAUUUUAAAUCUAGGCGCCUUGUUUUUGGCCUUUUAUGUUGUUUUUCUAUUUUUUAAUUUCUUGUUUGUUUUUAAGCUAUUUAUUAUGAUGCUAUGUACAGUUCUUAAUACUUAUGAAUGCCUAGUGAAUGAUAAUGGUGGAUAUGUAUUUAGUUUAAGUAUGUGGUGAAAGGAAUUCCAUGUGGAAAAUCCUGGUGUUAUGCUUUAAUGUAAUAUAUUACUGUAUGUGCUUUAAAAUGGGAGAUGAUCUUAACAUUCCAAUAGCCAUCCAACCUCAAGUAGGGAGGGUUGCUUAUGUCAUGAGGAGUAGCGGGAGGUCCUUAGCCCAGGGUCAAAUUGACCAGGGUUGUUUGACGGAGUAACCUUGUGUGGUAGCUUGGGUGACAAGUUGUUCCACCAUACUUAUAAAGGUUCCCUCAAGAGUUUGGCACCUAUACAUAUAUCCGAAUAUUCAAGUCUAGAGUCUAGUUAUAUAUUUAGGUUUUGAUGGAUUUUGAGAAUAAAAUUGUUAUAUUUCUGACUUAAGUAAAUUGCAUGUUUGAGUCUUUUAUAAAUUAGCUUACCAUAUUGGUUGUGUUUGUUUGUUUGUUUGCUUGACUCUUUUUCUUUGACAAUGAUUAUCUUAUUAGUAUGAGCAUAGAAAGAUAUUUCUAUGGAAUAGGUGUUGAAUGACAAAAGUGUUGAUAUAUAGAUAACUAUAAUAACUUUAUUUACUUUUGUUGUUUUGAAGAAUUUUUAGUUCAUUUAUAAAUAUUCUUAGUAUGAAUAUAUUUUGAAUAAUUGUGAUAAUAUUUUAUAUGUUUUUUUUAAUAAAUUAUUUUUGUUUAUUGAAAAUAUAAUAAUUUUCUAAUAGUAUUAAAACUAUAAAUUUUGAAAUGAUAUAUUAAUCCUCUAUCACUUUUCGUAUUGAAUAUUUCACUUUUCAUUUCUUAUUUAUAAAAGGUCAGUCCAUUAAAAACUUUAAAAUAAUAAAAUAUGAUGUAGCUAAUCACGUUAUAAAAUGAUUCUAAAAUCCAAAUUAAUAAUGACACCAUAUUUUUCUGUAUAACUUGUUUGUUCAAAUGCACUUAAAAGUUAGAAAAGAGUUACAUUAUUAUUUUCACUAUACUUAAUAGUUUUAUAUCAUUUAAAAAUUAAGGCUAAAUAUAAUUUAAAUAUUUUUUCUUUCAUUUUCUUAAAUCAAACCAAAUGAGAAAUAAUAAAGAAAGAAUGAUCGGUUAUGAAGAAGUAGGAAAUGUUUCUCCAUUUGCUACACGAGAUGUAAUUUAUGAAACUUGUUAAACAUUACGUGACUGAGGUCAAAAGCUUUAUUUGAAAUAUUUGAAUAUGUAUAAUAUUCCUUUAUCCAUUUAAAUAAUUCAUAUUAUGUUUUUUGUUUUGAAUUAAAUUACGAAAUAUCCUUGAAAUGCACCCAGCCACAUAAAAUGAGAAAUGGGUCACUGUCUUCUAUUUUAUUAUUGUAUUAGAAAAGUAGGGAGGAGAGGACCAAUGUCACACCACACUCCUCCAUCAAUCACAUUGUGAACUAGCCAAAAUCACCCACCUCAUGGGGUCCUAAUAAUAAUUUUUAAUUAUUUAUAGAACAUAACUAUUUUAUUACGAUUAUUUAGACAAUAUUUUUUUACAACAUUUGAAUAUUAUUUAUUUGUCAUUAUGUGAUUGGUUCAUAAUGGUAUUUAUGAUUAUUAUUAUUGAUUGUGAAGUAAUUUUAGACCAAUCACAUAAUAACACGUAAAUAAUAUUUAAAUAUUGUCAAAAAAAUAUUGUCUAAAUAUCAUUGUCCAUUUCAAUAUUACAAUAUUCUAACUAGCUAAAAGUAAAUUCAAAACAAAGUUAAACUCUAAACAUUAGAUUUAUAAUAUAUAGUUUUUUUUUGUAAAACAUGGAGAUGAAAACACUAAAUUUAGAAAUAAAAAUAUUAAUUAUAAACUUGUAAAUGUGACGAUGUUAAAUUCAGAUAUUGAUUGAUCCAAUAAUUAAAUAUAAAGAAAUAAUAAAAAAUAAAUAUUACUCGGAAACUUACACUAUGUUUUCUAAUACAGAGAGACAUAGAGUGACCCAGUAGUUGUCAAAGAGGGAAGAAUCCUGUUGCUAGUGCUAUUCACCAAAACCAGCUCACACACACAUCACACUUCACAACACACAACAAUCAUCACAUUAGAGAGAGAAAUAAAUUGACAAAAAGUAAAAGAAAAACCCUUACUUGCAUUGCAUUGCAUUGCACUGAACCACCUCCUCAUGCCUUGUCGCUAACCCGACCCGACCCGUUGAACUCGCCGGAAACUUUGUCCAAAAGGGUCUCUGGAUUUGCCCAUGGCCCUCCAUUUCCGACCCUAGAGACCCUUCAAGUUUUGGCCUUUUCUUCUUCGCUUUCCCGUUUUGGGUAAUCAAUUUCUGAAAUCACUGCAACUGAGAGAGCUUUUCUGAGAACUCCUGCCUCGACGAUAUGUACGUCGUGCCUCCGCCGCAGCGCUCCGAUCAGGUGUCGGGAUCCGGCGAUUUGCGGGUCUACCAAGCUUGGAAGGGUAGCAAUGUAAGUUUCACUUCCUACUUGUAUUUUUGGUUACUUGCUUCAACAAGACUUGGAUGCAGUACUUUUAAAAUACUUGUGCUGCUGUUUUUCAUUUAACUUGGCAAUCGUCACAAUAAAAUUUUAUUAAAGUUCAAUAUGAAUUAGAUUAGGAAGGUCAAACUCCUAUUCUGACUUCAGAGCAGCAUGAAAAUCACCUAAGCAACUAUAUUGAAGUCGUCAAUUUUCACAGUUUUUUUUUUUCUAAGGAAAAGGAGAUUGUUGGUGGAAUUUGUUAAUUGGGGGUGUCACUACUCUCAGAAAAUUCCCUUUUUGCAAGUGCUUGUAUGCAUCUCAAAUUUUGGUAGCUUAUCUAUUAUUGGUGGUUGUUAUUGUGGUCUUUUCUUUGUGUGGAUUUAAUUGUACUGGUAUUGGUUUUUUGGGCUAGGAGCGUUACUAUUUGGAAGAGGUUCUAGUUGUUAUGUGCUGACUUUGAGAUGAAUUUUGUGUGGAUGGUUUACUAUCAGGUUCUGAAGCAGUGUUAGUGAAAUGACAAGUGAUGGUAACCCAGAAACCACAUCAACUGGUCUCCUUUGUCCGAUUGAUGUGUUAGGUUUAAGCUGAUUGGUUUCCAGUACAAUGUUAGAACUGAGUAUUGAUUGGACUUUUGUGUUGCUUUAUUAAGUGUUACAGUCUUAGUGAAACUGUUCCAAAACUUCAUUUGCUCUGGAAAAAAAAAAGGGAACGGAUCAGAGUUUUUGCAUUUUUUAAAAACUGUAGAGAAUCUUUACUUAUAGAUAGAGACAUAAAUAGAUAAAUACGCCUACACACACACACACACAUAUAUAUAUAUAUAUAUAUAUAUAUAUAUUUAAAAUAAAAUAUUAAAGCAUAACAUGGGGUACAAGAAAUCUUAGGUACAAGCUACUAGGUCGAUUCAUUACUAGCUUCCCUAGUUUUAGUUGCUUCUCGCAGUUUCUUUACCUCCUAAAAUUAUGCUGCGGAGAAUCACAAGCACUUCACUUUUAGGAUGUGUUUGGAAAGAAAGUCACCGGAGAUCUGUUAAAUUUUCAGAACCAAAAUUAAUUUAAAUAAUUUAUGUUUCAUGUUAUUUUAAUAAGUCUGUGUCAUAUUGGAUGAUUAUUAUAUACUUAAGAAGUAAGCAAAGUAGAACGAAUCAAAACAUUAUACUCUAUGAACUACUGUGCUAUUUCCUCUCUAAUCUCAACCAAACUCAAAGAAUAGGUGUAAGGUAUAGGGAAAUCAUUGAGGCAGCAAUGUUCUGAUGGUCUCUCCAAAUUGAUUAUGAAAAACACUAGCCUUCGAGUCUCUACAUGAUAUGAUCUACCUUCUUUUCACCUUUGAUCUGUGAGGUGUGGAGUCUUGAUGUACUUAUUGUUCAACAUUCAUUUUGUAGCUUGUUUGCUGUACUUAAUAAGGAAUAAAAAAAAAUAUUAUUGCAUUGUGAUUUGAAAAAUAUGUUACAGGAUCAAUUCAUUUUAUUACUAUGAGGGUGCUUAAUCAUUGUUUUAAUUAUUUUCUUGCAGAAAUUUUUUCUUCAGGGAAGGUUCAUAUUUGGACCAGAUGUGAGAUCACUGGCGCUGACAAUUUUUCUUAUUGUUGCUCCUGUCGCAGUUUUCUGUGUCUUUGUUGCCAGAAAACUGAUGGAUGCUUUUUCUGACCACUGGGGGAUAUCCAUAAUGGCUGUCGCCGUUGUAUUCACAAUUUAUGUGAGUCUUUUUCUCUCAUGUACGAUAUUUUCUUUCUCUGUAUGUCUUUCUACUGUGUUGGUAAUCUUCUAUGAUUAGAAUCAUAAGAAGCAUUCCUCUAUAUUCAACCUCUCACACUUGAUUGAAGUGAACUGAUUUGGUUGAUUUGUCAAUGAAAUACUGCAUGUUUUUAACAUCGUUAAUUUUUCAUAUCUUCAUUUGUCAAUGAAAUACUGCAUCCUAAUUGUAAUGAUGAAGUUGGGUCCAUGUUAAAGCCAAACAUCAUGGAUUGUUGUCCUCCUUUUAGACCAAAGACAAUACUUUAUUAAGGGAGGGAAGGACAUCCUUCCUAAUGUUGCAAAUAGUAAUCUUUUAGAAGACUUUUGCAAACGCUUGUUUCAUAGCUAUUGUGAGUGCAACUCUUUCGAGAUAUUGACAAUCAGCACCAGUUGAUAAACACUCAAACACUUUGGAAAUUCACUCUCAAAUCAAAGGCUAGCUAUUAAAGGGAGAAAGCCAAGCACUAAAUGCUCUACCAAGCUUCCUAUACUAGUCAAUGUGGGACUUAGGCACCCCAUAAUACUCUAUUGGAUUUAGACUUCCCCUUGGAUGUGUGUAUUUUGCUUUAAUUCGAGGCACCAAAUGAAAGCAUAUGUAGUGUGUUGUCAUAAAACUUUGCGCCCCUUGCUUCUGCAAUAAACUUAUCAAAACAAGUUCUCCUAGCUAUAGGCACAAACAUCAAAGAUUGAUGGCACACACACACAUAGAAGCCUACUCCAUAUGUAAUCUGGCCAUGACCAUGACCUGUGUGAAAUGAAAUUUAAAAGAAAGAUUUUUAGAGGCAGUUUUGGGAUUCUGAGGGAGCUUCCAUGUGUUUCAAAGUUUCUUCAAAUCUCCAUUUUCUUUGGUCUGUUCAUUGAAAAGAAAAUUUUAUGCUUGUACACCUUUUCCUUUUGUGUGAUUCUUUUCAUUUGUCUUCUAGCUUAGAUAAUGGAUUCACUUGGUAUUAAAAAAUAGCGACAUUCUAUCAAGAAAAUUGUGUAAUAUGUCAUUUAGUCUAGUCUUAUGGUGGUGGACUGUAGAUGCAUCAAUGACUUGAUUAUAGUUUAGACUGUGGUUUGCAAUGGUAAUACCAUAAUACAUCUACAACUUUGCGAUAGGGCAUUAAAGGUUUAUGAAAGGAGAAAGAGAAAAUAGAAGUGGGUUGCCUUUAUAAGAAGGCAAGGGGGGUCUGGUAGAGGGGAGUUUUUGAUAUUAGUUGUAUUGACAGGAGCUUGUUCCUGAGGAGGGAGAGUGCUCCCUUGAGAGUUGGGUGCUGUACAUUUGUAUUCUUGUUCAUCAGAAUAAUAUUCAGUACUGUUGUUGUCCAGUAUUCUGUGUGGGUGUGUGCUGUUUUGAGAGAAAGAUAGACUUCUUGACCAAAGAAGUCUAUCAGAUGGUGCUUUUUGUUAGGUGAAAAUAUUAUUUCUGACAUGCGAAGAAUUUAUUUUGAAAGGAGUUACAAACCAAAAAAUAUAGUGAUAAAAGUGAACAGAGAAAAUGAAGGUGCUGUAAAUUGGAUGUUAUUUGCAAUUAAAAGGAAACUACAAAAGGAGGAAACCUCCAAUUGUCCAGAGGAUAGCUCCUAUAACAGAAAAUCACAUGAUCACCCUCUCCCCUUUUGCCUCAUCAGACUAAAUAACAAAAAAUACUCUACAACGUCUAACAACCUCUCUUCUAUACUAGCUCUCUUAUGUAACAACCUCUCCACUUACUCUUGCCACCUCAGCUUCAGGAUUUCUCUUCUUUUGCGCUCAUAAACCAUCCAUACCUUAGGUGUAACAUGAGAUGCCCUUCAUGGACCAAUGGCUCUUUCAGCCCAUAAACUUGUUAGGCUCCAACAAACGGUGAAUUUGAUAUGCUACAGACCUACACCUAGAUUCUAGUUCUUUAUGUUCAUGUCUGGCUUACUAGUUACCAAAGUGAUAUGCUUUGUUUCCAGCAAUCAACUUUUUUAUUACUUAUUUGAUGUUUGGUACUUAUGUCAUGUGAUAGAGGCAUAUCACUAAUUUAUCAUAGUUUGCACCUAAAAUAUGUUCUGUCCAACCUAUGCUGAUGCUACAAUCUUUUCAGGUCUUAGUUCUUCUUUUGUUAACGUCUGGCCGAGAUCCAGGCAUAAUUCCACGCAAUGCACAUCCUCCGGAGCCAGAAGGUUUGGACAGUAAUCUAGAUGUUGGUGCUGGUCAGACUCCUCAACUGCGGUUGCCUCGGUUUAAGGAGGUUGAGGUCAAUGGCAUCCCUAUUAAGAUCAAAUAUUGUGAUACUUGCAUGCUCUACAGACCUCCUCGUUGCUCACACUGCUCGAUCUGUAAUAAUUGUGUGGAAAGGUUUGAUCAUCACUGUCCUUGGGUUGGACAGUGUAUUGGACUGGUAAGUUGGAUCUGUUGUCUCCGAACCUAAGUGUUUUCUUUUUCUUUUUAUUCCCAGAAUGUUUUGGGGGAACAGUGACUUGAUCUCGUUAUUAAUUGUGACAGACUUUUCUUAGUCAGCUUUGAACUUAUUGAAUUGUUCAUAAUAAUUGCAUUUUAUACAUGGUUUCUUCUGAGAAAACUCAUUUUAUAAAUUUAUUAAAUUCAAUCUAACUUCAGUUUAAUUUUACUUUCAAGUUUAUUAUAGUUGUUAAUUCAUGAUAUAAUCUAGCUAUAAAUAAAGUGUUAGCUUGGUGGGUGAUCUUUAAACAGUGUUAGGUAUUUAAGAGACCAGAUUCUCUUUAACAGGAACUCUCUUAACUAGUGAACCUAUCAAAUUUCUGUCCUGUCAUGGAAAUUCUCUCUUCAAAUUGUAUCCUCUAUAGUUUCGUGCCUCAUAAACUGAUCAGACAAAUCUAUUACAGGGAAUAUAGGCUAAUUUUCCUAUUCUUUGGUUCAGACCAUGUUGCAAAUGGUGACAAGCGAUGUGUGAUUUAUUGCUAUUAGAGAGGAGUGCUACCCUUGCCUCCAAUAAACUAAAAACAAUAGCCCCUCUUUAACUGAAUUAAGACUCCAUAUCCCCUCUGCCAUUUUUCUUCUUCAUUGGUGCUUCAGCCGUAUUUUUUCUUAAGUUUGCAGCUUGAAUUUGUGUUCAUUUUUUAUGAGUUCCUCCACGGGAUUACUUUUCAGUUAUCAUUUGUUUUGUGUCAUUCUUGAAUAUAAUUGUUUGCACAUUCUUAUGCAGCGUAAUUAUCGGUUCUUCUUCAUGUUUGUCUUCUCAACUACGCUACUCUGUAUAUAUGUUUUUGCAUUUUGCUGGGUCUAUAUUGUAAGAAUUAUGGCGGCAGAAGAGAAAACAAUUUGGAAGGCAAUGAUAAAAACUCCAGCCUCCAUAGUGUUAAUAAUUUACACCUUCAUAUCAAUGUGGUUUGUAGGAGGCCUCACUGCCUUCCAUUUAUAUUUGAUUAGUACCAAUCAGGUAAGCACUGCUCUUUUUAAUCCACAUGCUUUAGAUGUAAGCUAGUUUUCAGAUUUGUACAGCAUGAUGUUGGCUCCUUUACUUUUGCAGACUACUUAUGAAAACUUCAGAUACCGAUAUGAUCGGCGAGCCAAUCCAUAUAACAAAGGAGUAUUGAAUAAUUUCAAAGAGAUAUUCUGCAUCAGCAUUCCCCCGUCAAAGAACAAUUUCAGGGCAACAGUGCCAAAAGAACCAGCAUUACCCACUCGAUCAGUGGGUGGAGGCUAUAUGAACCAAAACAUGGGGAAAGUUGGGGAGGACAUAGAAAUGGGAAGAAAAACAGUAUGGGACAUGGGUGCUGGAAUUGAGGACUCUGAAGCUCAAUUGAGCAAUGACCGUGUGGCUGUAAAGGAUGGUGAAUUGUCUCCUGAAAUCAGGACGACGGUUGAUGACACAGACCGUGCUGGAAUGCAUCCUCGGCGAUCUAGCUGGGGAAGAAAAAGUGGAAGCUGGGAAAUGUCCCCUGAAGUUUUGGCUUUGGCAACCAGGGUUGGGGAGCCAAACCGUGUCGGCGGAGACAGCAGUAGUAGUUUGACACUUGACAAUCGUCGUGUGUAGCCAAAUAGCAUGGCCAAGGGACCUGGAAGAUUUGAUUUUACAGUCAUGAUAAAAGAAAAUAUUACAUUGUUCAUGUGGUAAGUCUACGCCAAAAUCAUGUGCAAUAUGGGGAUGUAGGCAUUUGCAAGGUGUUUGUUAGUGUUUUUUUAGGCAUUCUGCUUCUAAGAAGAAAUUGUUUGGUGUUGCUUGAAGUUGUAUUAUGCAAUUAAUUAGCCUUUGCACCUGUGGAAGUUGCUGCAGCUCUCUAUCUCUCGGUGGCUGAAGGCUAGUGACAUGAAAUAUCCUGGAGGAAAUCAAUGAUGGACCAAGGGGAAUUGUUCUAACUUAUCUUGAUGCUUGAGUUAAAUGUAGUUGGUGUGUUAGGAUGAGAAGCUUAAUGAGACAGAUUUGUCAUGACAUAAAUCUUUACUCUUUGUUACCACUUUAGUGCUCUUGCCAUUCUACUUAUAAGUAGGAACAUUGCAUACCAUGUAUAAUUCCAUAAUGCCUGUGUUACAAAUACAAUCCAUGGCUUGAAAAACAAAGAGUUUUUAUUAUUCUUUUCAAUCAGUUAUCUGUCAGGAUUAAUUGUUGAAAAGGGAUUGUUUAAAUAAUAAAACUUAGAUCAAUUCCUGCUUGUACUGUUAUGAAACGUUGAUUAUUUUCCAAACAUUUAAACCAAUGGUUGAGUUACAACUUAAUUCCAAUGUUAAACAUGUUCAAUUUGAUUGAGGUGGAGAAUGUAGACCCUUUAGUGAUAAAAGAGUUAAGAUGAAAAAAGGAGAAAGGUAUAGCAAAUAAUUAAACUUCAAAAACUAUAACUCUCACAUAUAUUUGUAUAGAGAUAACUGAGAUCAACAACUUAUGUAUCUUUACAAUUUUAGACAAAUAAAUAUUCAUUUUGGUCCUAAUUAAGUCACAUAUUUUUGUUGAAAUAUCAUAACAAACAUCCUCGUUUCCCUCCCCUUUUAUUUUAUCUUUAAGGAUUGAACAUGACAUAUUUCUUCUUCUAAGUCAUUCUGGUAGUCCCAUGUAACAUCCUUUGAAAUGCUUCCGUUUAACUAAAACUUUAGUUAGUGUUACUCAUUUUCCUUUGACAGAAAAUCUCUUAUGAUUCUUUAUCUAUGAAGGUAUUUAGUUUGAUACAAGUUAAUGUGCCUCCAACAUGUUGAGUUGUGAAAUUUGGAAGACAUUUUGAACUUUGAUCAUUUAAUCAUAGACAAUCAUUUGGACUAGUAAAAUGGAGAUACAUUUGAAAUAUGUAUCUAGAAACCUAUUCACUUCCUACUAUUCAUCCAUUGAGAAAAUAUAUAUAUAUAGGUGCUUAUAAGUUUCUGGAAUUAAUUAAACAUGUCUUCCGCUGUACCCUUGUCAUAAUCUGGAGAUGAAGAAUGCGUUUGUGUUAAGGAUUGAGGUAUUGAAGGUAGCAUGAAGAGUUUAAAACUGCUCUACUGCUGGCUGUAGGUUAUGUUCCUUAGGAGAAUUCGUUAGUUCUGAAUAUGUUCUGCCACAAACAUCAUAAAGCAAGAACUUGGUAUGUGGCAGGGAAUAAAAAAAGAUUUGAAAGGGAGUCUGUCAGACAACCCUGCGACCAUCCCCAGCUUGUAAAGUCAGGGAACGAUCCUCUACAGCUGGUGAUGGGUCUCGUCCAGAAACAAAGCCCACACUACCGUUAAUCACGCUCUGAUCACAGGGUCAUAGUUCAUCCACCAGACUUCAGUUCCUGUCUCCUUAGAACUUAAGGAUACAGAGGUACGAACCUAUAGAACAGAUCCUGUUCAAGUAAGGUCGUGGCCAUGAAUGUCAGCUGGUCCUUUAUAAACGUACUUUCUUUUCAUAGCUCUUUCAAUGUGGGACUAUAUCAGUUGUUUGCAUGGUGAAUAGUUCCUGUCCAACUAGUUUCUUUUUGC